rnacentral:lncRNA from 1 species
CGACAACGCUCUCUAAAGUCGAGUUCCAUCCAUUAUGCGUAAAGAACCCGCCAAUGGCCGGGUGGUUCAAGACUGCCUCUUGUGGUGCGCAAUUUACAAUGUAACCUCGAUCCUUACUCUUCUCCAUAAGCUCCAUUACAACAUCCUCCCCUUCACCAUCUUUUCCAAUCACGGAAUCUGGCCUUACAACAAGCAAGAACUUCGUUUUACUGUUAAGAAGUCCAUACCAAAGCUCAACAAGUUGCUCCCUUGACAUGCUCGUAAUGCUAACAAAACUUACAUAGAUAACAGAUCGAUUCGGUUGCUUAUUGAGCCAAAAGAUGCAGCUUUUAUCCACUUCCCAAAGUGUAUUCGAGAUGUGAUCAUAUGAUUCUCCAUGUUUUGCAUUGAGUCUAGUGUUUAAUUGAGCAUGUAAGGGUCCAACGGCAUAGACACGAGGGCAUUUGGUGCGUAUUUGAGAUAGUAUAGGCCCAUCGAGCUCUUCGGCGGUGUUGAGUAUCAAGGCAUCGGCUUGAAGGCUCUUUCGUGUCUGUUUUACGACUAGCUUCAUUGAAUCUUCAAAGUCCAGUUUUCGACAAUAAGUAGGAAGAUCUCGACAUCGAAGAUAAGUUUCCAUGCCUGGCACUGUCGUUAUUAGCCGGUCCAUGUCUUCACUUCCUUCAAUUGUUUAACAAAAAACCAUUUACUAGUGUCAAUGAUCACAAACCCAAUUAAAUGAAACUCAUAUCAGAUUCAAAUUUAUUUAAUCAUAGAAAUUUAACAACUCAAAUUCGAAAUGAUCUAAGUUCAAACAUGAUCACAACUUCGAACGACUCGAACUUAAAACCCACGGGAACAAAUUACCCAAAGUGGUCCAAACUUAAGUAUUAAACCAGAAUAAAACAAUCCUGAAAUGAUUCUACUUGAAAAUCGACACAAAAAAACCCAGCUAGCUAACCUAAAGUGACCCGAAAACAAAAUAACCAAAAAUAAUUCGAAUUUAAAAGUUAAAUUAGUAGAACCCAUUGAAACUCAAAAUCAUUCAAACAUGAAAUUUUUUAAAAAUUUUAAAUUCCGAAUUAAUCCAACUUAAACCAAAUCAACUCGCCUAAUUAAGAGGAAUAUUCCAAAUGUCUUUCUCGUUAAUUUCUUCAACAUGCUUGUCAAAUCAUUUCGACUUAAGGUUUUGUGUUAUUCUAAGUUAAAAACAGUGCUAAACAUGGUACAAUAAACAAAUUUGAUGAGAAAGAAGUGGAUUUACCAUUGAUAGGAAGCUCCCCAGCUUGGAUUAUAUCAGGGAUAGAAUAAUAAACCCAGAAACAACAAGGACUGCUGGUACGAAAAAAAAUAAUGGGGAUUCCAAGCUCCUUUGCAACAUCAAGAGCAAAGCCUGAAAACCCAUCUGCAAUUAUGCAAUCUACUGGUGGGCUACUAUUCACAAGUACCUCUCUCAAACUUUGCUUCAUCUUAAGUUCCAUGGUAUCUUCAAACAUAGCAAGGAACCAUCUCCCUGACCUAGGAUGAUCAAGAGGGAGACCAUCGGUUAUGGUCUUGAAUUGGAACCCUGGGUAUCUUUCAAAAUGGGCAGCAAUAUUGUUGAACUUGACCAAGCGUUCAUGGUUGUGGUGGGAGUGGAGGAAAGUCAGCUUCAAGCCGGCGAUAGCUAGCAGUUCAGCUAGCUUAAUCAUGGAGUUUAUAUGGCCCUGUAAUGGGAGGGGGAAGAUGAGGACAUGUGGAGGACGGGAUUGAGAGGAUCGAUCCUGCUCCUCCAUCUAAUUGGAUGAUCUGUUUUGAGGGGCUUUUUGAGUUUUAUGUGCUUAAGAAGAAUGUAUUAAUUUAUAAGUGAAGAAAUAAAUGAUAUAUUUAUCAUAAUUUUAGGAAACCAAUUAGCCUCUUAUUUAUCCAAGAGUGAAGUUAGAAAACUUUUUCAUGUCUAAAAUUAACUUGUAAUUUUUAUAAUGAUAAAAAUGUAAUUUCUUUAUUUUUAAUAGUUUAUAUUUUUAUAAUUUUUAAAGGAUUAAAUAAAAAAAUUAUCAUUUUUAGGGGGUUAACGUAUAAUUUUAUCUCUUAUAAUUUAAAAUUUUAAAAAUUUUAAAAGACCUACAUGGAAAAAAAUUUCAUUUAGGGGGAUUAAGGCCCCUGUUAGCCCCUUUAGCUAUGCCCAUGUACCUAUUCUCGAUGACCUUAUUUUCCAUUUCCAUUCCAAUGUGGAAUUAUUGCAUCUUGCCUACUUUAAAGUGUUUGGUGUGACAUUCUCUCCCAUUCAAUCUCGUGACGUCUUAGUCACAAGCUACUGUGUCACAGUUGAUUCACUAUGUCAUCCCACUUUCUGAGAUGCUUAUUGUGAAAUUGGGCAAUCAAGGAUUGCUUUGAUACCACUUGCUAUGGGAUCAUUACUCUUUUCCCAAAAGACAUGUGAUUGGAUGUGUAACGACCCGUUUUCGGUGAAAUCGAAACAAUAAUUUUGGGACCACAAAUUCGAGGUCAUAAAAUUUAUUUUAAUAUUAUUUUAUGGUUCAUAGUAUGUUAGAAUUAUGGUAUAAAAAUUUCCUUAAGAAAUUUUACCGUUUGUAUGCUCAAUUUGUGAAAUAGGAAUAAUCGCAUAAAAUGCGAAAGUUGUGUUCUAUUAGCUAAAGGUGUCAAAUAGCUAUAGAACUUUAAAGUAGAGGUCCUUAUUGAGUAAUUAGACCACUAUUUGAGUUAGUGGAUGUACAUGGAGUAAAAAUCAUGAAAAGUCAAAGUUGGUAAGGGUUGGUAAUUUGAUGAUUAAAGUUAAAUUAAAUAAAAUAAAACCAAAGGGGUCAUCUUCCUCCGUCUUUUUCAACCGAAAAUUUUAGCAAACUAAAAGCAUAGGAAAGCUUGAAUUUUCAGCCACAAAGUCCCUUGCAUGUAAGUUAUUUUGGUGGUUGUUUUUGUUGGUUUUUGUGUUUUUGGAACCUUUGUAGCUUAAGCUAGCUAAUUAAGGGGCUAAUUUGCAAUAUGAUUGAAAGUCUAGGGUUUUUCCAUGAGAUCAUAUUGGUUGUUUUUUAAGUUUAAUGAAAGAAAAUGAAUCUUGAUUGUUAAAUAAACAACUUUUAUUAAAGGAUUUUAAGUGAAAUUGUCAAUUGGGGGAUAAAAUGAGAAAUGUGAAAUUUAUGUGUUAAAUGUGUGAAAUUGUGAAAUAUAUGGGCUGAUAUAGGUAUAUAUGAAAAUUGGGUAGGCUUGUGUAUAGAUGAAAUUGCAUGGAUUUCAUUUUUAUGAGCCUAGGGACUAAAUUGUAAAGAAGUCAAAAGUUAGGGGCAAAAUGGUAAAUUUUCCAUAUUAUGAAAUUGGACUAAAUUGAAUAGAGUAAUUAUUAAAUUAAUUAAAUUUGAUAUUAUAUAGAUCAAGAAAACCCAUGUUCAGAUUUAAACCGGGGAAAGGAAAAAGUAGUGGAUUGAAUGGUCGACUUACUCCGUAUUAAUUCGAGGUAAGUUCGUAUAAUCACAUUGUGUAUUUACAUGCUUUAAUUGAAUUAUAUGUAUGUGAAUUUAAUAAUUAUGAUAUAUAUAUAUAUAUGGAAUGUAUAACUAAUAUAGUACUAUAAAUAACGGGCCCCAUUUGAACCAUAGAAAUUCGUAUGACACAAAUGACGUGUCAUUAGGGUUACCGAUUUUGGUUGAGACCCUACAUGUGUUACGGACUCACCGCAACUCGUAUGAGCUUACAGAAUCUCAAGUCGUAAGAGCUUACCGUUAUUCAGCUCAGAAGAGCUUACUGAUAUUAAGCUCGGAUGAGCUUACUGUUUAUUACUCGUAUGAGCACACAUGUGGAAGAAUUGACGGUUUACCGCUCAGUACACUUCGUGUGUACCACCCACAUAUCCUACGAUAUUUUAGAUGGUUUAAUGGGCAUAGUAUUAUUACGGCAUUAUACAAGUUUGAUAUGACAAGUACAAGUAUUUGCAUGGAAAUGGUUGAUAUUUGAUAUAUGACUAUAUAGCAACAUGUACAGGGAAUUUGAUAAAUUGAUGAAUUCAUAAAUGAUUUUCGGAUUUAUGUGAAUACAUGAUUAACUUGAUUAUGGGUUGUAUGAUAGGUUUAGGCCAAAUUGAAUCGAAUUACAUUUCGAGUUAUUUACCUUAAAUUGUAGUUAUAUGGUAAGUUUUAUUCUUUGAAUUACGAACUUACUAAGCUUAAUUGCUUACUCUGUUUUUUUGUUCAUGUUUUGUAGUAUUUUGGAAGCUUGCUCAAUUUGAAAAUCAUCGAAAAUCGCGUCGCACUAUCAAACUCUAUUUUGGUACUUAGACUUUACAUUUUGGGUUAAAUGGCAUGUAUAUGUGUUUUGGUUAAUGUGCCCUAUAUGUCUUAUGUUGUUUUGGUUAUACGUAUAGCCAUGUGAUUUGGCUUAUUUUGGUAUACUUGGUUUGUAAAUAUGUAUAAAUGAUUUUUUGGGUAUGUUUUAAGGUGGUUGAUUGAAUUUGUUUGUUAUAUCAUGUUGUGAUGUAAAUUCGUAGUGAACUCGGUUUAGUCUCGAAUCACUUUUAAUGUUUAUUUGGGCUUUGAGGGCUAUUAGGGACUGUAUAAAUGUAUUUGAAUGGUUUUUGAUACGAAUGAUAAAAAUAUUUCGGGCCUUUAAAGAGUUAGAUAGUUCAUUUGGAUAAUCCUAAAGUAAAGACUUUUAAUUUUCUAUGAAAAGGCCUGAAGAGGAAUUAGUCAUGAUGAGUCGUGUCAUCUUUGUGGUCACCAUACAGAGGAUGUUUUACAUGUUCUUAGAGACUGUCCAUGUGCGAAGGAUAUUUGAACUCAAAUCAUUUCCCUCAAUUAAAAUAUACAGUUCUUUGAAUGUAAUAUUUUGGAAUGGUUGUUCUCGAAUCUAUAGGACCAAUCAGAUAAUAACACGGGAGAUUUAGUCUGGGCUUGCUUUUUCAGGAUAAUUCUUUUGCGCAUCUGGAAAAAUUGUAACAUGUUCAUCUUCCAAGGAAAAUCAAUGAAUCUAGAGGAAAUUAUUAAGGUUUCCUACAGUUGGGCAAAGCAAUACUCCUCAAUCAAUAAUAAAGUCUUGGUGAUGGAUCUGCAGCAAUCUUCUGAACGUUUGGAAUCAAGUAUGGGUUUUCUUCUUAAUAUUGAAGGUGUUGUUAAUUAUAUUUCUGGUCUUUCAGUUGUAGGUGGAGUAAUAUGUGAUGGGAAGAGAAAUAGGAUUUUGGGCUAUAAUCGCUUUUUGGAGAAAUGUUCGGUUGUAGCUACAGCUUUGGGAGAUAUUAAAUGGCUUACACAUAUUUAAAAAAUAAGGAUAUGAUGACGUUAUCAUUUAUUCUGAUAGUCUCGAGGUCGUAGCAGCUGUUAGCGAUAACAAGCCUGAAAAACUAACCCUACUUUAAUUAGGACUAUUCAACAUAUCCUUGCUAACGAAAAGAUAUAAUCAUUGAGAUAUGUUCCUAAAAUGAAUAAUAAAAGUACGUCGAUUACAGGUUAGGGGUGUUACAUUUAUUGGUAUCAGAGUUACGAUUUAGUCGAUUCUAGGACUAACGUAGUGGGUGUAAGUCUAGCUAUACAUGUCAUUUAUUAACUUGUGAUACUGUGACAUCUCCUAAAAGUUUAAAUUGUGUUUUUUAUAUAGCAAUGGAUCCCAAUCGAGUAGAUUCUAAUGAUGUUGAAAGUAACGUGCCGGCCUCAGUUUGAGGGGCAGCGUCGUCUGGGUCUAGACCUGUGUCAGAUAGUUGUGGAAAAAAGGCUAAGGAAGCCUAAUGAACGAGUGGUUCACUGAGUAUGUCUGGACAAAUCCGGCUACUCAGAAACCUCCACCCCCACCUUACCCCCAACCAGUUCCCAUGGCUCCUCAAGUCUCAGAACCGGUACGUUUGAACAAACUGCCUGUGGAUAAAAUUAGAAAAUAUGGGGCUGAAGAGUUUAGGGUUACAGUUGAUGAUGAACUUGAGAGAGCUAAGUUUUGGUUAGAGAAUAUAAUCAGGGUUUUUGAUGAGCUGUCUUGCACGCCAAUUGAAUGUGUUAAAUGUGCUGCGCCCCUUCUGAGAGAUUCAGCUUAUCAGUGGUGGAAUACCCUGAUAUCCAUAGUGCCGAGAGAUAGAGUCAUGUGAGAAUUCUUUCAGACUGAGUUUAGAAAAAGAUAUAUAAGCCAACGAUUUCUUGACCAAAAACACAAGAAAUUUCUAGAGUCAAAGUAGGGUUGUAUGACCAUAACCUAGUAUGAAAGAGAGUUCAUUCGAUUAAGUAAGUAUGCCCGAGAGUGUGUUUCCACGGAAACAAUUAUGUGCAAACGGUUGAAGAUGGGUUGAACGAAGACAUCAAACUUUUAGUCGGGAUACUUGAGGUGAAAGAAUUUGUAGUUUUAGUUGAAAGAGCUUGCAAAGUCGAGGAACUUAGCAAAGAGAAGAUCAAAGCCGAAUUUGAAGCUAGAAGUUCAAAGAAGAGAUUUGAAGGGAAGUCUCAACAAUCGAUGUCAAAGAAAUCUAAAGAACGUCAUUAUUGACCUACUAUUUUUGUGGGGCAUUUUAGUCAAGAUAGAGAUGAGAGAUACUCCAGUUCUGAACCCUAGGCUACAUCUGUAGCUAGUGUGGGUAGUGUUAGAAAUGCUAAACCCAAGUGCAAACACUAUAAUAGGCCACAUAAUGGCAAAUGUCGGGUAAAGAGUGGUGUAUGUUUCUGGUGUGGUUCAUUCGACCACUACAUUGGAGAUUUCUCUGAGAAGUUUGAGAAAGAAAAAGCUCAAACUGUGAGGUUGAGCGAUACAGCUGCUAGAGGGAGACCACCUCGAAACACUGGAAAUAUGAGUGGUAGUCGAGGGAUACCGCAGUGAGAUUGGAGGCACGAGUGCCAGCCGGAGCUUAUGCCAUUCGUGCUCAUGAAGAUGCGUCAGUGCCAGAUGUUAUCACCGGUACUUUUUCUCUUUAUAAUACUGAUGUAACUUCUUUGAUUGAUCUGGGGUCAACCCAUUCUUACGUAUGUGCAAAAUUAGUGUCUAGUAAGAGUUUGCCUGUAAAGUCCACUAAAUUUGUGGUUAAAGUAUCGAACCCAUUAGGUCAGUAUGUCCUAGUUGAUAAGGUCUACAAGAAUUGUCCUUUGAUGACUCGGUGUUACAAUUUUCCAGCUGAUUUGGUGCUUUUACUGUUUGAUGAGUUCGAUGUAAUCUUGGGUAUGGAUUGGUUAACUCUGCAUGACGCUGUUAUGAACUGUAAACGAAAGAUUAUUGAGUUGAAAUGUCAGAAUGAUGAGAUUUACUGUAUUGAAUCUGUUGAUUUGAGUGGUUUACCUGUCGUGCUAUCGACGAUAUUAGCACAGAAGUAUGUGAAAAAGGGUUGCGAGGCUUACCUUGCAUAUGUACUGGAUACUAAAGUGUCAGAAUCGAAGAUUGAAUCAGUGUCGGUGGUCUGUGAAUAUUUGGAUGUGUUCCCAGAAGAAUUAUCCGAGUUACCACCAAUCAGAGAAGUUAAAUUUGCUAUUGAGUUAGUAUUGGGAACAUCACCAAUAUCGAUAGCUCCGUACAGAUGGCUCCAACAGAGUUGAAAGAGUUGAAAGAGUUGAAAGAGUUGAAAGCUCAGUUGCAAGAGUUAACAGACAGAGGUUUUGUGUGACCGAGUUUCUCGCUUUGGGGUGCGUCGGUUCUAUUUGUAAAGAAGAAAUAUGGAUCAAUGAGAUUAUGCAUCGACUAUCAACAACUUAACAAGGUUACGAUUAAGAAUAAGUAUCCUUUGCUGAGGAUUAAUGAUUUGUUUGACCAGUUGAAAAGAGCAACAGUAUUUCCAAAGAUUGACUUAUGAUCCGGUUAUCAUCAGCUGCGGGUUAAAGAUUCAGAUGUAUUGAAAACUACAUUCAUGACUAGGUACGGGCAUUAUAAAUUCCUUGUUAUGCCAUUUGGAUUAACUAAUGCUCCUGCGGUGUUUAUGGAUUUGAUAAAUCGUAUAUUUAGACCAUUUUUGGACCAAUUUAUUGUUGUGUUGAUUGAUGAUAUAUUGAUAUAUUCUCGGGACGAAUCUGAACAUACUGAGCAUUUGAGAAUUAUAUUACAGACUCUUUGAGAUAAACAACUAUUUGCUAAAUUUACCAAGUGCGAGUUUUGGCUCCUAGAAGUUGGAUUUUUUGGACACAUUGUGUCGGUAGAUGGCAUCCAAGUUGAUCCGAGCAAGAUUUUAGCGAUUGUUAACUGGAAACCACCAAGAAAUAUUUCCAAGCUCAGAAGUCUCUUGGGAUUAGCGAACUAUUAUUGAAGAUUUGUUAAGGAUUUCUCAAUGAUAGUUACACCGAUGACUCGAUUAUUAUAGAAAGAUGUAAAGUUUAAGUGGUCUGAGAAAUGUCAACAAAGUUUCAAUCAGUUGAAAGCACUGUUAACAGUAGUGCCAGCUUUAGUUCAACUGGAGUCGGGAAAAGAGUUUGUAAUUUACAACGAUGCAUCGUUGAACAGUUUAGGAUGUGUUUUAAUGCAAGAAGGCAAAGUGACAGUGUAUGCUUCCAAACAAUUAAAGAUGCACGAGAAGAAUUAUCCGACUCACGAUCUAGAGUUGGUUGCAAUCGUGUUUGCGUUAAAAAUUUGGUGGCAAAACUUGUUCGGUGAGAAGUGCCACAUAUUUACAGAUGACAAAAGCUCGGCAGCGAAGAUGGCUCGAAUUAUUGAAGGAUUAUGAGCUAGUGAUUGAUUACCAUCCGGGAAAAGCGAAUGUAGUCGCGGAUGCUUUGAGUAGAAAAUUUUUAUUCGCUUUACUAGCGAUGAACAUGUAGUUGAAUUUAUCUGAUGAUAGUUCAAUCUUAGCUGAGUUAAGAGCUAAAUCGACAUUUUUACAACAAAUUUGUGAGGCUCAGAAAUGUGAUAGAGAUUUGCAAGCUAAAAGAGCACAGUGCGAGUCAAUUAUUAAUUUAGAGUUUCAAAUCGGAUCCGAUGAUUGUUUAUUGUUUCGAGGUAGAGUUUGUGUGCCGAAGAAUCCUGAGCUCAUACAGAGAAUUUUACACGAAGCUCACAGUGGUAGCUUGUCUGUUCAUCCGGGGAUCAAUAAGAUGUAUGGUGAUUUGAAAUAGAUGUACUGGUGGUUAGGUAUGAAACGUGACAUUUCGAAGUUUGCAUCAAAAUGCUGGAUUUGUCAACAAGUCAAAUCCGAACAUCAUGUACUUUCAGGACUGCUGCAACCAGUGAUGAUACCGGAGUGGAAUGGGAUAGAAUUACGAUGAAUGUCGUAUCAGGAUUACCUCUGUCUCCGAAAAGGAAAGAUGCUAUCUAGGUCGUUGUUGAUCAGUUGUCGAAGACCGCACAUUUUAUUCUGUUACGUACAGACUUCUCUCUAGACAAAUUAGUCGAGUUGUAUAUUUCUGAGUUUAUGAGAUUGCACGGAGUACCAGUAUCCAUCAUUUCAGAUAGAUAUCGAUGAUUUACAUCACGAUUUUAGAAGAAAUUGUAAGAGGCUUUGGGUACGCGAUUGCAUUUUAGCACUGCAUUUCAUCCCAAAAUCGAUGGUCAGUCUGAGAGAGUAAUUCAAAUUCUUGAGGAUAUGCUAUGUUGCUGUGUUCUAGAGUUCCAAGGUAAUUGGGAAAACUAUUUAUCGUUGGUUGAAUUUGCAUAAAAUAAUAACUUUCAAUCGAGCAUUAAGAUGGCACCGUAUGAAGCUUUGUGUGGUUGUGAAUGCCGAACUCUAUUAUACUGGACCGAUCUUAAUGAGGAAAAGAUACACGAGGUUGAUUUGAUCCAAGAAAUUGAAAAGAAGGUGAAAGUGAUUCGUGACAGUUUGAAAGCCGCUUCUGAUAGACGAAAAUUGUAUGCGGAUAUGAAGCAUAAAGAUGUUGAGUUUCAGGUCAGAGAUAAAGUGUUUUUGAAAGUAUCGCCUUGGAAGAGAAUUCUUCGUUUUUGUCGUAAAGGAAAGUUGAGUCUGCGUUUUAUCGGACCGUAUGAGAUUACCGAGAGAAUUGGGCCGGUGGCUUAUCGACUUGACUUACCGUCAUAGUUGGAAAAGAUUUAUAAUGUGUUUCAUGUAUCUAUGUUACGACGGUACUAAUCAGAUCCUUUGCAUAUAAUUUCUCCAACCCAGGUUGAGAUUCAGCCUAACAUGUCGUAUCAUGAAGAACCGAUCAGAAUUUUAGCACGACAGAUCAAAGAGUUGAGGAAUAAAAGAAUAGCUCUAGUAAAAGUUCUUUGGCAUCGUCACGGGAUUGAGAAGGCUACUUGAGAACCUAAGGAAACCAUGAGAAAACAGUAACCUAACCUAUUUUCCGGUAAGAUUUUCGAGGACAAAAAUUCCUAAGGGGGGAGAGUUGUAAUGACCUGUUUUCGGUGAAAUCAGAACAGUGGUUUUGGGACCACAAAUCCGAGGUCAUAAAAUUUAUUCUAAUAUUAUUUUGUGGUCUAUAGUAUGUUAGAAUUAUGGUAUAAAAAUUUCGUUAAGAAAAUUUACCGUUUGUAUGCUCAAUUUGUGAAAUAGGACUAAAUCGCAUAAAAUGUGAAAGUAGAGGUCCUUAUUGAGCAAUUAGACCACUAAUUGAGUUAGUGGAUGUGCAUGGCGUAAAAAUCAUGAAAAGUCAAAGUUGGUAAGGGUUGGUAAUUUGAUGACUAAAGUUAAAUUAAAUAAAAUAAAACCAAAGGGGUCAUCUUCCUCCUCCUUUCUCAACCGAAAAUUUCAGCAAACUAAGAGCAUAGGAAAGCUUGAAUUUUCAGCCACAAAGUCCCUUGCAUGUAAGUUAUUUCAGUGGUUGUUUUUGUUGAUUUUUGUGUUUUUGGAACCCUUGUAACUUAAGUUAGCUAAUUAGGGGGCUAAUUUGCAAUAUGAUUGAGAGUCUAGGGUUUUUGGAAAAAAAAAUUCAUGUUUUCUUAAAAAUUCGUAGAGAACUCAGUUUAGUCCCGAAUCACUUCUAAUGUCUAUCUGGGGCCUUAAGGGCUCGUAUUAGGGACUGUCUAAAUGUAUUUAAAUGGUUUUUGAUACGAAUGAUAAAUAUAUACUUCAUGUGUGAUUAUUUGACUUAUAAGUUCGAUAAUGCUCCGUAACCUUGUUCUGGCGUCGACUACGGGUUAGGGGUGUUACAGGAUGUGUGGCGCACUUGCUUAUAUUCUUAGCGACUUUCCCUUUCUUUUUGAGAUUAAUACAUUCUAUCUUUUUUUUUUAAGUGCUUGUCGUGAUAUUUAUUUUUCGAAUUUGACAAAUUGUUAAAAUAAAAAAAAUCUAAAGAGUUUAUUUAAAAGUUGUAUUAUAAUUUAUUGGGGCUAAAAUUUAUAUAUAGGAAAAUUAAUUUUGUUUUAAUUUUUUUAAGUUUUAAGAGAAAAUAUGGCUAUAAUAUUAUUUUUGUUUUCUAAUAUAUAUUUUCAAUUCACCCAUUUAAACUAAAUUAAUUAAUGAUUUUAUUUAUUUAUUUUUCAUUAAAAGUAAUUUUUUAUUUCAUGCAAUUAAUGUAAAUUAAUAUUAUUGAAAUUGUUGAGCAUAAUUAAAAUAUUACACCAAAUAAAACCUUCAAAACAAUAAACAAAAGCUUGAAUGAAAAUAAUAUAGACUUCAAAACCAUAAAUAAAAACUACUAGUUGAAUUACAUAUUGGUCACUCGAAUUCAUAAAGUUAUAAAAUAGUAAUAAAAUUAUUCGAAGUUUUUAUUUAAGUUACUUAACAGUUAAAAUCGUUAUUGUAUAGUUUUCCCCGUUCGCAUCACUUGCACAAAUCGAAAACUUUUCUUCCCCUUUUCUUGUACGGUUCAAUUUCUUUUCAUAUCUACGAACUAAAAUCCAAAUAACUUUCUUCUUUGAUCUCCAACACUGACUGUCAGAUCGACUUGGAUCUAAGUUAUGUUCUUCUAUUUCUUGAUGGGUACUGAUCUACCAUACUAUUCGCCGAAUUGUUGUUUCAAGCUUUUAAACCAAACUUAAAGCUAAUAACUUAAGUUAAAUCUGUUGAAUAGUUUAGUGAUUAUUUUAUAUCUAGUUAAUUAAUCAAAAUAUAAACUUAUUAAUAUUUAAUAUCCUGCGAUCUAAUUUAAAAAAAAAAAAUCCAUCUUUAUUGCAUGUCAUGCGACUGCAAGUUAAUUAAUUACAACAUGUUCUUUUAUGUCUUUAAUAAAACAAUCGAAAUUGCAGCAAGGGCCGCCGACAGAUUUCUCAUUCUGUUCUUUGUUUUCAACCAUCAAUUUCAUUCACCAUUUUCGUUAAAGCAAUUUUCCUAUACGAAACAUCUUUAUUCCCCUUCACUAGCUACUUCGGGCAGGGACAGAAUCAAGAUAAAACAUUAGAGGAUAAUAGUCCCUACCAUUUUGAUAUCAAAUAAUUUAAGUUCAAUUUUAAUAAAAAAUUUUAAUAUGUUUUAAUUAAUUUCAAUUAAUAUCAAUUUAUAAUGAUGAUUAUCAUAACUCGUAUCAAUUAAUACGAGAUAUUAGUAUUUUAAACUAAUUUUUAAUAUUUUUAACUUACGAUUAUUAAUUUAAAAGUUGACAAGGAUGUAAGAGGUAAUUAAAGAAACUAGGGUCAAAUUGUUUAAUUCGAAAUUAGCAGGAACCUAGGAAAUAAUUUAAUAAAAAAAGUGGGGAUGGGCAAGGCCCCUCAUUUUGUUGUCCCUAUCUCAAAAUUUUUAACAAUUUUUAUUCAUCAUUCUUAUGUCCUCAAUUAGACAGUCCAAAUUACAAUACGAAGACCCACCAACAUUCACAGAUCCUUUAGCCAAUUUAGCAAAUUCAGCAGCUGAUUUCAAAAUCUCCUCCCUUUUUUCCACCAUUAAAUCAUUCGCCAUUUGCUCCACAACUCUUCUAUCACGCACAUCGUUCAUAUCUAAUCCUAAUUUCCACAAUUCCUCCACAAACCUACUGUUCAAUUGUUGGUCACCAAAGCAAGGCCAACAAAUCAUGGGCACCCCCGCCGUCACGCUCUCCAAAGUCAAAUUUCAUCUGCUAUGAGUCAAAAACCCACCGAUUGCCCCAUGGGCCAAGACGUCUUCCUGUGGAGCCCAAUCCACUAUGUACCCUCUUUCUUUUGUCUCUUCCUCAAGCUUCGUUGGUACACCGUCACAUGUUUAUCUGGAUAAUCCUAAAUCAAAGACUUUCAACCAACUCUGAAAGGAUCCGAACAGGAAUUGGUCAUGAUGAGUCAUUUUUGUGGUCACCAUAUAGAGGAUGUUUUACUAGUUUUUAGCGGCUGUUCAUGUUCAAAGAUCAUUGGUUAAAGUAAGCGAGAUUUACAGCAGGGAGAAAUAUCAUUGAUAAUGUAAUCACUGCAUAUGAAGUCUUACUCUUUAUGAAAACUAAGAAGAAUUUCUAAUGGAUUGUUGUCAAGAUUGAUUUGGAGAAAGCUUAUGAUCGUGUACGUUGGGGCUUCGUAAAAACUUCACUCCUUGCAGGUUUUGUGGAAUGAAGUUCUAACUUCAAAAUUCAAGCCUGUAAGGGGAAUUCCUCAAGGUUGCCCCUAUUUUUGUACCUUUUCGUCCUUUGCAUGGAGUGGUUGGGGCAUCACUUUCAUUCGACUAUUUCGUCAGAAAAUUGGAGCCUUAUUCGAUUAUAACGUGCAGCGCCAAACCUUUCACAUAUUUUCUUUACAGAUGAUUGAUGGGUGUCGAAUCCACAUUAUAAACCUACGCCUAAUUUGCAAUUUAAGCAGUAUAGGGAGUAGGGUCGAUCCCUCAAAGGCUGGGUUUACUGCAAAUUGUUGCUCUCUUGACCAGAUUUAUGUUGGGGCAGUUGUCGUGCCCAAGACGUUCGAGAGGAUAAAAUUUGAAACCUGAAAUAAAUAAAUAAAAUGCGUAAAAAGUAAAAGUUGAAGAUAAAAUAAUAAAAAGCAGUUAAAUAAAUUUGAAGAAAAAUGAAUUAAACUAAGCUCAGCUUUAGGCACGGGUUUUUCUCGUCUUUGAACCGAUCCUCGAAAUUAGAUGAACUCCUCUUUUCCAAUAAGCUAGUUAUAGCUGCCAAGGACGUCUCGGACACCAACUCUUCCUUGUGUAAAUUAGUUAUGGAACAUCCAAUAACUAACCCUUACCGAUCGAACAACUAACGAAACGUUCGUGAUUAGAACUCCAGCAGCUUUGCAUUCUAGAAGAGCCUAGCUCAAACCAAUGCCCUCAACCGCGUAGGGCAUUUAAAUUCGAUCACUACUUCCCUUGACGGAACCAAACAACAAUCUCCACUUGGCACGCCGAUGUGUUCACAGAAAACCGAUUAGAAUCGAUCCUUUCGGAAUUCCAACUGUACGUCUAACCACACUAAAUCAAACGAUGUCUUUUUUGACGUAGUGUUGAUUUGACUUUGUGAGUUGACAAAAUCAUACUCUUAAUCCGGAGAAAUAAUAAGUACUAGAAUUUAGGAGUUUAAUUGCUCGGGUUCGUAACUCAUGGAUCUUGACGAGGCUAACUCCGACCUAAAGCUGAAAAUGGAUUUAGUUAACUAAAGUUUGGGGCAUGUUGGUAUUGGAUAAAUUAAAUAAGGUAAAAUGGGUGAAAAGAAUGGUUAGCUACUGGAAAUGAAAAGGGAAUUUGAAAAAAAAGGAAUUGCAAAUGGUUUAAGUUGGUGACUAACUAGGAAUUAAUAAGUUGAAGAAAAAGAAACUAAAAGCAAUAAAAUAAAUUCGUGAGUAGAAAGGAGAGAAACUAUUGAAAGAUGAAAGCUUGAUUUAUGAGUUGAUUCAAGACUUGAUGAUUAAAAUGAACAAAGUAGUCCACUAUUUAUACUAGUGGCUUUGCUAAAUUAAGAGCCAACUAGUAUAGAAAAUCAAGGAAUAAAAUAAAAAAAUCCCUACAUAAUCUCCCACUAAGUCAAAAAUUUCAGCUAAUUAAUCUUGGAAAAAUUCUGCUUUGGCCCUCCUUCUUUGCUUCUUUCUUCAAUCUAGCCCAAUUGUUUCUUUUUUCUUCUAUUUAGCCCCAAAUUGCAUCCCUGUACAAAAUUCAGUAAAUAUGAAAAAAUUAGUGGUGCAUUCUCAUAAAUUAACCAAUUUAAUUACAUAAAAUAUGUAACUUUAGCAUUUAAUCUAAUCCCCCUAUUUAGUUCAUGCUAAUCCUCGAGCAUUAUGCAUGUAUCUGCAAAAGGAAAAUUUUUCUCCAAAAUAGGACUUGACCACCAUGGUUUGCACAAUUCAACAAUUUAAUCCUAGCACAUUAACAUUUCAAAUAACCUAGCCUAAGAAGUAAGUAAAUAUAUUUCAAAAUUUAUUAGAGAUAGACUUACCCUUCAUUUUAUUUUAUUAUUUAUUUAUUUUUGUACUUAGGACAUUUUUGAAUUUUUUUACGCGAGACAUAAUGACAACCCAAGCACCAUGUUUCGGUUACUCAAUUCGGAUGUCUCUAAGCGGGUUAUUUCACCCUACUCAUGAUAACUUGUUAGCGGAGUGCGUGCAAAGAAAUUGGACAGCCACACGAACUUUUUUAUGCGAGAUGUGAUAACAACCCAAGCACCACGUUCCGGUUACUCAGCCCGAUGUACAACCCUAAAUUUUCACUCUUAACAUUCGUAUCAGAGGAGUAUUAUUAUUAUUUUUAUUUUUUUGUAUUCAAUUCCCAAAAAUAUCUUACCCACUAAGUCUAACUUAUUGAAAAGUUUAUGUGUAAAGAACUAAAUAGUUAAAUGGGUCAAACCAUAAGUGUACCAUCCCAAUUUAUCAAAAGAAAAAUUUUACCUUUCACAAAAAAACAUGCAAAAACAGCGACAACAGAUAAGCAAAUUAGAACCAAUUUAUAUUUCCCUCCCCCUACUUAUUUUACAUUGUCCCAAUGUAAUUUAAAGAAUAAAAGUAAAGAUAAGUAGGAGAAAAAGAAACUCCCCAUGUAUGUCAACGUCGUGGAGGGUGGUCUUGUAGGUGUGUCCACAGUGUUAAAUGGUGGGUAGGUGGAUUGGGCCUUGGCUGAAAUUAAAGGAAUUUUGUGGGUUGACAUGGGAAUUUAAUUUUGUCUUGGAAUGUACCCUGUAAAAAUAAAAUAAAAUAAAAAUAAAAUAGUAAAAAUAAAUAAUAAUAAUAAUAGGAAAAUUAAAAUUAAAAUAUUUUUUUUUCAAAUUUAUUAGCUAAGCUAUAAACUUAAGAAAUAAAUUAUUAAAAACCAAGACUACGAGAUUUGGUAAAACAGUCGUGAUAAAUGCACCAAGUAAGUUCCCAGGAAAGAGAGGUGAGUUACAAUGGACAUACUUAAGUAUCAAGUCUUUCCUUAGAUAGAACUAAUCCUCGACAUGCAUUUUCAUUUUCCAUUUUACCAAAAAAUUUAUUUGCAUAAAGGGAAAGAAAAUUUGGGUUGCCUCCCAACAGCGCUUUGUUUAACGUCGUUAGCUCGACGACCUGUUACUUAAAUUUUGAGCUCCUCGAGAAUAAUCUCCUCAACUGUGUGUGUUUAAAAUUCUCGUAAAAGGGUUUCAGCCGUUGAACAUUCACCUUAAAGCACUUUCGGGUUUCUUCGCUUUGAAUUUCCAUUGUACCAUUCGAGAAUAAAUUAGUAAUAGUAAAUGGACCUAUCCAUUUGGAUCGAAGCUUACCAGCUAAUCGCUCGAGCAUUUGAUCGAUGAAGGAAAGUGGAAAAUAGUCUUUUUGGGUAGCUGCAUUCAACUUCCUAUAAUCAAUACAAACCCUCCAUCCAUUUUGGACUCGAGUAGGGACUAGCUCUCUUGACGAAUUUUUCACCACUGUCACGCCAGUUUUCUUGGGCACGACAUGAAUCGGGCUAACCUAAUCACUGUCGGAGAUCGGGUAUAUUAUUCCAACAUCCAACAGUUUUUGGAUCUCCUUCUUUACUACCUCCAUCAUAGGUGGAUUAAGACGUCUCUGAGCAUCUCUCUUUGAUUUCGUGUUAUCUUCAAUGGAAAUUCUGUGCAUACAUGUAGAUGGACUUAGCCCUUUUAUGUCGGCUAUUGUCCAACCAAUAGCUUCCUUAUAAUCUCUCAGAACUCGAACUAGACUUUCCUCCUCGUCUUUGGUUAGUUUGCUUGACACUAUUACCGGUAAGGUGUCAUUUUCUCCCAAAAAGACUUACUUGAGGUAGUCUGGUAAUGCUUUAAGCUCCAAGGUUGGUGGUUGCAAAAUCGAAGGCAACAUUUUAGUUUGGAAAGGUAAUAGUUCAAAUUAGUUACCUCGAUUCGUCAACGAUGGUUGCGUCUCCAAGUGUUUGACGAUUUCUUGCAACGGAUCUCCUAUAAUUGAUAAUUCCUCGAGACGACUUAAAACAUCCAUGUCAAUGCUUCUGUAAAGGAUAGUUUCCAACUCAUCAUAGUCAUGAUAUUCAAAAUAAGAUUGAGUUAAACAAUCUAUACUAUCGAUGCUAGAAAUAUUUGAUAGUGAGUUAGGAUGACUCAUAGCUUCGUAGACAUUGAAUUUCACGAUUUCGCCAUCAAACUCCAUUGUUAGUGUUCCGCUCCAAAUGUCAAUUUUUGCAUUUGCGGUACUUAGAAACGACCUUCCAAGUAAAAUGUCAGACGAAUUAGUUGAGUUAUCAUCCUCCAUAUUAAUAAUGUAGAAAUUUGAAGGGAAAACUAAUUCGUUAACUUUAACAAGGACGUCUUCAAGCAACCCUUCAGGAUAGACUAUUGACUUGUCCGCCAACUGGAUUAUUACUCCUAUCUUUUUCAAAAGACCCGUGUUAAUAAACUUAUAAAUAGGAUAAGGCAUAAUGUUAAUGGAAGCCCCUAAAUCACACACGGCUUUCUUAAUGCCUACAUUACCUAUCUCACAGGAAAUAGCAAACAUAACUUGGUCCUUGUAUUUGGGCGGAACUUUCUUUUACAGUACUGCGGAGACAUUUUCUCCUACAUUUCCUCUUUCGUUACCUAUUAAUCUCCUCUUGCUAGUACAUAAUUCUUUGAGGAAUUUUGCAUAACGAGGGAUUUGUUUGAUAGCGUCGAGCAAAAGGAUAUUUACCUUCACCUUCCUGAAUGUUUCGAGGAUUUCUUUUUCCUCCUUCUCUUUCUUAUCCUUUGCGAGCCUCCCUAGAAAAGGAGGUGGCAUCACGACUGGUUUUUGAAUUUUUGAUUUCAGUCUGACUUUUGGAUCAGAGAUCUGCUUUUCCCGUUCCUUAUGCUGCCCAUGACUUUUGUCUAGAGCUGUUUCCAGAAUCUUUGUGCUACGAAGAGUUAUUACACUUACAUUCUACCUAGGAUUCGGCUCUGUCUGGGAAGGUAAUUUACCUUGAGAUUCUAAACAAUUAACUGCAAUCGAGAGUUUACUAACUUGAUUAGUUAACUCUUGUAUUGAUGCAUCUGUCUUCUGUUGGUAUUUUGUAGUAUCGACGGCAAGUCUCUCCAUAAUAGCUUCUAGAGAUGUGCUCGGCUUGGGUGGCAGUUGCGGUGGUUGCAAGGGUCUCGGUUGGUAUGACAGAUUAUAUCGGGGAUUGGCUCCGUAAUUUAAGUUGGGAUGAUCCUUCCACCUGGGAUUGUAGGUUCUUGAAAAAGGGUCAUAGCGUCUUUGCGGAGGUCCCGGAAAACCUCCGAUAGCAUCAACAUGUGCCGUUGAAUUUUCAUUAAGGAUUGGGCACAAGUCCGUCGGAUGUUCAGAUGUAGUACAAAUUCCAUACAGUUGGGUCAGAUUCUUCUUUUCUGUAAGCAUAUAUUGAACAAUAUUAGUAAGCUUAUCCAACUUAUCUUUUAAGAAUGAAACGUUUACCCCAUUAACUCGUCUUGUGGGUUCUGAAUUCGGCCGAUACUGUUGAGAAUUUGCCGCCAUGGUGGAUAUUAGUUCUCUUGCCCUUUGAGGAGUCAUAUUGACAAACGCCCCUCCACUAGCAGCGUCAAUCAUUUUCAUUUCCAUAGGGAGCAAACCCUCGUAAAAAUACUGAAGAAGUGAUUGCUCGGUCAAAUCGUUUUGAGGACAACUUGCACAGAGUUUUUUGUAUCGCUCCCAAUAGUCGUAGAGCGAUUCACUCUCCAUUUGGCGAAUUCCCACUAUAUCUCUCUUAAGUUCAGCUGCUCGCGAUGCUGGGAAAAAUCUAUCAAGAAAAACACGAGAUAAGUCAUCCCACGUUGUAAUAGUACCGGGGGUAAGUAAAAUAACCAUUCUCUUGCUGUAUCAACUAAAGAAAAAGGAAAGGCCCAAAGUUUAAUUUCAUCUUCGGUUACUCCCUGUGGUUUCAUGCUUGAGCAGACCAUGUGGAAUUCUCUCAAGUGGGUAUGUGGAUUUUCGUUCUUCAAGCCUCGAAUAGUGGGAAAAAGGUGAAUAAGGCCUGAUUUCAACUUGAACGGGGUUUCUUCGGCUGGAUAGUUGAUGCAUAACGGUGUUUGCUCGUUGGGAGCAGUGGCUAGUUGACGAAUGGUUCAGUUUGCCAUCCUUUCUAGUUCACCAACUUCUGCUUCUUUUGUUUCAAAAAGUGGUUUGGUCUCAGGUUUGACCACUUCGACUUGUUUCCCACAUCGAAUUGCCUUUGCACGAAUUGCUUGGCUCAACCUUUCGACGUCGGAUUCUAGGAUCCCUUGUCCUAGCUUAACUUCUAUUUUACUUGCACGUUUAAGAGCUUCUGUCUCUUUUCGUCGUGCUCGUGUUGAUUUCUCGAUCUCUGGGUCGUAUUCAAGAUCUCCUAAUGAAGAUCUAGUCAUGAAGUUGAUUUAAAAAAUUGUAAGUGUUGCCAGUCCUCGGCAACGGCACCAAAACUGAUGGGUGUCGAAUCCACCAAUAUAAACCUACACCUAAUUUGCAAUUUAAGCAGUAUAGGGAGUAGGGUCGAUCCCUCAGAGACUGGGUUUACUGCAAAUUGUUGCUCUCUUGACCAGAUUUAUGUCGGGGCAGUUUUUGUGCCCAAGACGUUUGAGGGGAUAAAAUUUAAAACCUAAAAUAAAUAAAUAAAAUGCGUAAAAAGUAAAAGUUGAAGAUAAAAUAAUAAAAAGUAGUUAAAUAAAUUUGAAGAAAAAUGAAUUAAAUUAAGCUCAGCUUUAGGCACAGGUUUUUCUCGUCUUUGAACCGAUCCUUGAAAUUAGAUGAACUCCUCUUUUCCAAUAAGCUAGUUAUAGCUACCAAGGACGCCUCGGACACCAACUUUUCCUUGUGUAAAUUAGUUAUGGAACGUCUAAUAACUAACCCUUACCGAUCGAACAACCAACGAAACGUUCGUGAUUUAGAACUCCGGUAGCUUUGUGUUGUAGAAGAGCCUAGCUCGAACCAAUGCCCUCAACCGCGUGGGGCAUUUAAAUCCGGUCACUACUUACCUUGAUGGAACCAAACAGUAAUCUCCACUUGGCAUGCCAAUGUGUUCACAGAAAACCGAUUAGAAUCGAUCCUUUUGAAAUUCCAACUGUACGUCUAACCACAUUAAAUCAAACGACGUCUUUUUUGACUUAGUGUUGAUUUGACUUUGUGAGUUGACAAAAUCAUACUCUUAAUCCGGAAAAAUAAUAAGUAUUAGAAUUUAGGAUUUUAAUUGCUCGGGUUCGUAACUCACGGAUCUUGACGAGGCAAACUCCGACCUAAAGCUGAAAAUGAAUUUAGUUAACUAAGGUUUGGGGCAUGUUGGUAUUGGAUAAAUUAAAUAAGGUAAAAUGGGUGAAAAGAAUGGUUAGCUACUGGAAAUGAAAAGGGAAUUUGAAAAAAAAGGAAUUGCCAAUGGUUUAAGUUGGUGGCUAACUAGGAAUUAAUAAGUUGAAGAAAAAGAAACUAAAAGCAAUAAAAUAAAUUCGUGAGUAGAAAGGAGAGAAACUAUUGAAAGAUGAAAGCUUGAUUUAUGAGUUGAUUCAAGACUUGAUGAUUAAAAUGAACAAAGUAGUCCACUAUUUAUACUAGGGGCUUUGCUAAAUUAAGAGCCAACUAGUAUAGAAAAUCAAGGAUUAAAAUAAAAAAUCCCUACAUAAUCUCCCACUAAGUCAAAAAUUUCAGCUAAUUAAUCUUGGAAAAAUUCAACUUUGGCCCUCCUUCUUUGCUUCUUUCUUCAAUCUAGCCCAAUUGUUUCCUUUUUGUUCUAUUUAGCCCCAAAUUGCAUCCCUGCACAAAAUUCAAUAAAUAUGGUAAAAUUAGUGAUGCAUUCUCAUAAAUUAACCAAUUUAAUUACAUAAAAUAUAUAAGUUUAGCAUUUAAUCAAUGAUUUAAUGACUUAUAAUGGAGCUAAUUUGGAGCACAGUGGUUUUCUUAAAAUUUUUUUGGAUAACUUUUGUGAGCUUUCUGGUCAUAUGGUCAAUGCUAGGAAGACUAAUAUCUUUUACUCUGCUAGUGUUAAGGAAUAUUUAAGGAAGGGAUUUAAUAGUAUCCUUAGUUUCCAAGAAGUUAAUGAUUUGGGGCAUUAUUUGGGAGUCCCUCUUUUUCAUCAAAGAGUUACAAAAAACACUUUGGAUUUCUUGGUGGAAAGAGUUCGUAAUUGCUUAUCUAGCUGGGACACUAAAAAGCUUUACUUUGCAGGGAAGGUCACUUUAGCACAAACGGUUUUGUUGACUAUUUUGAGCUAUCUCAUGCAAUCUAUUUUGGUUCUGAAGGGUAUUUGUGAUUUAAUAGAAGAAAUGGCAAGGCAAUUCAUCUGGGGUGCUUUUGAUGGAAAAAGGAAAAUGACUUUAGUUUGGUGGGAUUCCAUUUUCCAACCUAGAUCUCACGAAGGUCUUGGGUUUCAUUGUCUGUGCAGUCAAAAUAAAACCUUCAUGAUGAAAAUUGGUUAUAGUCUUAUCACCAAGACUAAAGCUUUAUAGGUUAGGGUUCACAGAGAAAAGUAUGGAAUUAAUGAGACUAUGCCGGAUUGUAUCAUGAGACAUAGAUGCUCCUUUAUGUGGAAAUCUGUGGCCAAGGUUUGGCCUCUACUGUGUAAUAAUAUGAUUUAGUUAGUGGGUAAUGGACGGAUCGUUCGUUGCUGGGAGGUUGCUUGGGUACAUAACGUGAGACCUUUAAUCAAUCAUGUCCCAAGUCAUGUGAAUAUCUAUUAUGAUUGUAAAGUGAAUGAGAUGGUAAAGGAAAACGGUACAUGGAACCUUGACUUAUUUCAGGUAUUGUUGCCAGGAGAAGUCGUCCUACCUAUCAUUAGCAUUCCACCUGUAACACCCCUUACCCGUAUUCCACACCAGAAUAAGGUACGAGGUAUUACAUGAACACAUACACUUGUAAACGUAUUUAACCGAGUUAUAGAAUUUCAUCUAAAUUAAAACUUUCAAAAUUAUUAACAUGCUUCUAAAAUUUUUCACAAUAUAUUCUCAAAAUAUUAUAAUCAUAAUAAUUAGGGCCUACGAGACCCGAUACAUACUCAUGCAAUUCAAUGCACAAUUUUUCAUGCUCACAAUUUAAAUCAUAUCACUAGCAAUUUCCAUUUAAUUCACGUACAAUUCAAUGACAUUAAGUUCAACACUAAUACGUAUUUACCAUUUAACUCAACGUUUAUCGAUUAUACCAUUCAAUAACACAUUUAUGAAAUUCUCAAUUUUGCAAUGAAAAUAUAACUUUAGCUUAAAUAACAACAUCAUCCAGGUAUAAAUACACUACCACUUAUCCAUUUACUUUAAUUCUUUUGGACCCAUUUGUCACUUACCAUCCUUAAUCAAAUUAGGGAACGGUUACGGAAAAUUGAGUACUUCACUUCCACUUUGCCAUAGUAUAACUAUGGUCUUACGUAUGAUCACUUAUCACUUGUCCCUGAUCAGAUAAGUGUAGCUAGACUACCACUUAUCACUUUGUUACUUGAUCAGAUAAGUAUAGCUAAAGCUACCACUUAUCACUUUGUCACCUUAUCAGAUAAGUGUAGCUAAAGCUACCACUUAUCACUUUGUCACUUGAUCAGAAGUACUCAAAUCCGGCGUUCCGCUCAAUUUGAUCAUUUAUUCAGUUUUCGCAUUUUUAUUUUAUUCUCAUUUCAUCAAUAAAUAUAUAUUUCAUCAUAAAUUAUAUAAUUCAUGAAAUUAACAUUUAAUCAUUAAAUUUCAGCAAUAUGAACUUACUUUUCAUUAUCUUUCCACACUCGUUUUCUAUGCACAUCACACAAGAUAUAAACGUAUCAUUCAACCAUAGUCGCAAGCUAGUGUAUUUAAACAUAACUCUUUUUGGGGCUAACCACAUGAUAAACCAUUUCAAUACAUAACUUAUAAAUUUAACGUGGCAUAGUCUAGCCACUACUUGGCCAAAGCCUAAGCAUGUAUACCAAAUAUGUUAGCCAAAUACACAUAUAGCAUAAGCAUUAUAAGCAUGGAUGAGCACAACAUUUAUUCAUCUAUCAGGCUUACCAACAUGUGUUAAUUCAUAAACCAUUCAUGAUAUUAUUUCAUGCCAAAUCAUAUACUGAAUAUACCAUACACACACAUACUAUGAAACUUUAUUUUCACACAUAAGCUUAAACCAUGACCAAUAAUGCACAAAUAUAAGCGUCAUUUCUAUUUCAUCGUUUAUCAAUUGUAAUCAAGCUUGUAACCAAUUAUACACAAAUCAUUCAUAUAUUUCCCAAUUUUCCUCUUCCUCCUCUCCAUUCCACAUCCUUAAUGUGUAUAACAAACUUAAACAACAUUAGCUAUAAUUUCGCAAUUCACUCACAUGUAUAUUCAAAGCUAUUUAUCCGAGUCAGAGUAACUAAAUUAUUUUUAUUCGGAGCUACAGAGAUCCAAAUUAAGAUCCAUUAAUUUUCCCUAAAACUAGACUCACAUAUCUUCUUACCAUAAAUUUUUAGAGUUUUUCGUUCAGCCAAUUAGUACAGUUUAUUCUUUAAAAUUUCCACUAUUUCCCUGAAACUAAAAUGAAUUAUCUAAUUGUACAGAAUUCCAAUGAUGUUUUUGUUUGUUUCCUUUGAAAAUAGAUUCAUUAAGGAUUUUAGGCAUAUAAAUUAUAACUCAUGAUUAUUUUUUCUUCAAUUUUUUUAUGAUUUUCCAAAAUCAGAACAGGGGAACCCGAAAUCAUUCUGACAUUGUCUCACAAAAUUUAUUAUAUCUCAUGAUUUACAAUUUCAUACUCAAUAAGCUUUAAUUUCAUAUUUUAUUCACCCUCUAAUUCAAUUCUCACAAUUUUUGGUGAUUUUUCAAAGUUAUACUACUGCUGCUGUCCAAAACUGCUUUAGUGCAAAAUAUUGAUUUCCAUUUUGCCCCAAAUUUCACAUUUCAUACAAUUCGGUCCUUUCUCAAUUAACCCCUCAAUUAAUCUAAUUUUCUCAAUUAAUACUUUACCUAAGCAUUAUAAGUUGUUUCACAACUAUUGAAAUUCAGAAUUUCCACAUAUAACUCUAUUUUCAAACUCUUUUACUAUUAGGUCCCAAACAUUCACUUUCUAUUCAAUUCUUUCAAUAAAAUCAGCAUAUGAACAAUUUAAAACUCUAAUUCCAUGCUAAAUCAUCAUAUACUUUCAGCACGUAUUCAUAGCAACUUUCAACUUCUUUCAUAGAAUCAAAAACUAAUGAAUACAAUAAGUGGGCCUAGUUGUAAAAGUCACAAAAUCACAAAAUUUUCAAGAAAUAAUGAAGAAUUGAACUUACCUGCAGUAAAAAUAGGAAGAACCAGCUUAAGGAAACCCUUCUAUGGUGUGUUUUCUGAUGAGAAUGCAGAAAAAUAAAGAGAAAUCUAGAUAAUUCUACUUUGGUCCUAACUUUAUUAAGUACAUUUUGCAAUAUUCCAAUUUUGCCCUUAAUUCUCCUUACUUUGUUGCUGAUUUCAUGCCUUUGUCGUCCAGCCCAAAUAGACCUUGGGUCUAUUUUCCUUUUAAGUCCUCUCCCUUUUAUCAUUUAAGCUAUUUAAUCAUUUCCCAUAAUUUUACAUUUGUUACAAUUUAGGCCUUUUUGUUCAAUUAAUUAUCGGAACUUUAAAAUUUCUUAACGAAACUUUAAUACUAAAUUUUUAACACUCCAUAAAUAUUUAUAAAAAAUAUUUAUGGCUCGGUUUAAAAUGCCAGAGGUCUUGAUACCUCAUUUUCGAUUCUAAUUAUUUUAAUAUUUAUUUCUAGUGCACUAUUCACUAUUUCAAAAUUUUUACUAACUUCACAUUUAACUUAUACUCACUAAAUUAAUAAUAUUUUCUACCCAUUUGUCGAAUUUAGUGAUCUCGAAUCACCGUUCCGACACCUCUGAAAAUUCAGGCCAUUACAUUUUUCCUCUCGUCAAAUUUGUGGUCCCAAAAUCACUGUUCCGACUAGACCCAAAAUCGGGCUGUUACAACUCUCCCCCUUUAGGGAUUUUCGUCCCCGAAAAUCUUACCAGAAGAAGUUACUUCCAACUCUUAUGAAACACUUUCACUAACUUUCCAGAAUCACAAAUCAAUUUAAUCUCGCAUAUCUCUUUUCAAUAAAUAUAUCUCUAUAUCAUACUUUCUGAAAUAUAAAUUUUUCAUUCCGACUAUUAGUCUUCAUACUCGUGUAUGCAUAGAAUUUAUUCUCUUAGCUAAAGACAUGCUUAAAUACAUAUAACUAAAAUCACAUCUCGAUAAUUCAGUUUAUUUUAAUAAAACAACUGAAUUAAUUUCAAUUAUCAAACACUAACAUGUCCAAAAUACUCUUUUUCUUCAUGCUGAGGAUACAGCUCAAACACACAAUCUUUCAACAAAUUUUUUUGAGCAUGCGAAUCAGAGAUCCUUUAAACCGUAUUAGUUCAAGGAAUUAGAUAUUCUGAUUGAACUCAUUAACUUUAUUCAAAUUUACCUGAGGAAAAAUUCCAUCAUACAAUUUUGAGCUUAUGCUCUCAUUAUUUAUACCCUUACUGAUGACAAUUCCCUUACACAAAAAUCAGUGAAGUCUAGAUACCAGAAUCACCACAUGUCAGCUCUAGAAUUUCAUCGUAACAAAAUAAUACACUUUCUAAAUAUGCAUGCAAAACGGAACAAUAACCGGUCAUAAACCAGCUAGACCAACAGGACUUUCGUCUAACAUCAUAGUUAGCUAACAUUCUCACCCAUUUGAUCUUUUAACUUCACCAUUUGUUCACUUUAUAGCCAUAUCAAUAAUCAUCAUUUUCUUAUAUUUCAGAUAAAUAUAUAUAACCAUACAUAAGAAUGCAAAUCACUAUUUCUUCUUUUCAGUCACAAUUUCAAAUGACAGAUUCAUGUAAAUGAGCUCAAUAUCAUUAUCUGUUUAAUUUUUGUCACUUAAAUUCACAUACACAUAUUUUAUUAAAAUAACCUGACAAACAUAAUCUCUGAAUGGUGAGAUCACAUAAUUGAGCUCAAUUUCACUGUUCAAUAUGUUUUAUCAAAUAAAAUUUGCUUAACACUUACCACAAUUUGCCAAAUUACAGAACAUCUUACUGAAUUGAGUACUUCGUUUUCACAUUGCCAUAGUCCAACUAUGGUCUUACAUAUAAUCACAUAUCACAUACCGAUGCCAUAGCCCAACUAUGGUCUUACACGAAGAUCACAUAAUCACAUUUUCACAUGUUGUAUGGUCAAACCAUGGUAUUUUCCGUCAAUUCAUCAUAUAUCACUGAAUGAAAGUACUCAUUCCUGCGUUCUACUCAAUUUGAUCUUCCAAUUCAAUUUUUAUGCUAUUAUAAUAUUUAUAGUUCAAUAAUAAAAACAUAAACAAAACAUCAUAUUAUUUAUAAUUUAACAAUUAAACAUAAGAUUCUAUCAAAUAAAUAUACUGAUUACACUUAUUCAAGCAAGUGUACAUAAACAUACAUUCCAUCUAUUUGUGUAUAUUUGCUUACCAUAUUUACUUAAUCAAAUAUGUUGAGGACAUAAUAUCAUAUGCAUGCCAAGCAAACACGGAUGGGCUUAUCAUCAUAUAAACUUUCAUUUUAUUCUACGUUUCCACAUUUCUCAUCUCAACUUAAGGUUAUCUCAUUUCGUACAUUAACACAUACUUAUCAUAAACACAUUUCAAUCACAUCAAUAUAAAUUUUUUUAGCAUUUUUUCUAAAAUAACUCGAUUGGAAGUAAUAAGGCAUUACCGAAUAUCACGUUAUCACGAGUAGUAAUACGACAUAUAUAGCUAGACUCACACACGCUACGUUAGUCCAAAAAUCGACUAAACCGUAGCUCUGAUACCACUAAAUGUAACACCCCUUAUCCGUAUUCCACACCAGAAUAAGGUACGAGGUAUUACAUGAACACAUACACUUAUAAAUGUAUUUAACCGAGUUAUAAAAUUUCAUCUAAAUUAAAACUUCCAAAAUUAUUAACACGCUUCUAAAAUUUUUCACAAUAUAUUCUCAAAAUAUUAUAAUCAUAAUAAUUAGGGCCUACGAGACCCGAUACAUACUCAUGCAAUUCAAUGCUUCAUUUCCAUUUCAUUCAAUGCGCAAUUUUUCAUGCUCACAAUUUAAAUCAUAUCACUGGGAAUUUCCAUUUAAUUCACUUACAAUUCAAUGACAUUAAGUUCAACACUAAUACGUAUUUACCAUUUAACUCAACAUUUAUCGAUUAUACCAUUCAAUAACACAUUUAUGAAAUUCUCAAUUUUGCAAUGAAAAUAUCACUUUAGCUUAAAUAACAACAUCAUCCAGGUAUAAAUACACUACCACUUAUCCAUUUACUUUAAUUCUUUUGGGCCCAUUUGUCACUUACCAUCCUUAAUCAAAUUAGGGAACGGUUACGGAAAAUUGAGUACUUCACUUCCACUUUGCCAUAGUAUAACUAUGGUCUUACGUAUGAUCACUUAUCACUUGUCCCUGAUUAGAUAAGUGUAGUUAGGCUACCAUUUAUCACUUUAUCACUUGAUCAGAUAAGUGUAGCUAAAGCUACCACUUAUCACUUUGUCACUUGAUCAGAAGUACUCAAAUCCGGCGUUCUGCUCAAUUUGAUCAUUUAUUCAGUUUUAGCAUUUUUAUUUUAUUCUCAUUUCAUCAAUAAAUAUAUAUUUCAUCAUACAUUAUAUAAUUCAUGAAAUUAACAUUUAAUCAUUAAAUUUUAGCCAUAUGAACUUACUUUUCAUUAUCUUUCCACACUCGUUUUCUAUGCACAUCACACAAGAUAUAAACGUAUCAUUCAACCAUAGUCGCAAGCUAGUGUAUUUAAACAUAACUCUUUUUGGGGCUAACCACAUGAUAAACCAUUUCAAUAUAUAACUUAUAAAUUUAACGUGGCAUAGUCUAGCCACUACUUGGCCAAAGCCUAAGCAUGUAUACCAAAUAUGUUAGCCAAAUACACAUAUAGCAUAAGCAUUAUAAGUAUGGAUGAGCACAACAUUUAUUCAUGUAUCAGGCUUACCAACAUGUGUUAAUUCAUAAACCAUUCAUGACAUUAUUUCAUGUCAAAUCAUAUACCGAAUAUACCAUACACACACAUACCAUGAAACUUUAUUUUCACACAUGAGCUUAAACCAUGACCAAUAAUGCACAAAUAUAAGCAUCAUUUCUAUUUCAUUGUUUAUCAAUUGUAAUCAAGCUUGUGACCAAUUAUACACAAAUCAUUCAUAUAUUUCCUAAUUUUCCUCUUCCUCCUCUCCAUUCCACAUCUUUAAUGUGUAUAACAGACUUAAACAACAUUAGCUAUAAUUUCGCUAUUCACUCACAUGUAUAUUCAAAGCUGUUUAUCCGAGUUAGAGUCACUAAAUUAUUUUUAUCUAGAGAUACAGAGAUCCAAAUUAAGAUCCGUUAAUUUUCCCUAAAAAUAGACUCACAUAUAUUCUUACCAUAAAAUUUUCAAAAUUUUUCGUUCAGCUAAUUAGUACAGUUUAUUCUUUAAAAUUUCCACUGUUUCGCUAUCUGACAGCUCCGACCACCCUUCACUAAAAAUGAAUUAUAUAAUUGUACAGAAUUCUGAUGAUGUUUUCAUUUGUUUCCUUUGAAAAUAAAUUCAUUAAUUAUUCUAAGCAUAUAAAUUAUAACUCAUAAUUAUUUUUCUUCAAUUUUUGAUGAUUUUCCAAAGUCAGAACAGGGGAACCCGAAAUCAUUCUGACAUUGUCUCACAAAAUUUAUUAUAUCUUAUGAUUUACAAUUCUAUUGCUUACACUGUUUCUUCUAUGAGAAACUAGACUCAAUAAGAUUUAAUUUAAUAUUUUAUUCACCCUCUAAUUCAAUUCUCACAAUUUUUGGUGAUUUUUCAAAUUUAUACUACUGCUGCUGUCCAAAACUGCUUUAGUGCAAAAUGUUAAUUUCCAUUUUGCCCCAAAUUUCACAGUUUAUACAAUUCGGUCCUUUCUCAAUUAACCCCUCAAUUAAUCUAAUUUUAUCAAUUAAUACUUUACCUAAACAUUAUAAGUUGUUUCACAACUAUUGAAAUUCAGAAUUUCUACAUAUAACUCUAUUUUCAAACUCUUUUACUAUUAGGUCCCAAACAUUCACUUUCUAUUCAAUUCUUUCAAUAAAAUCAGCAUAUGAACAAUUUAAAACUCUAAUUCCAUGCUAAAUCAUCAUAUACUUCCAGCAUGUAUUCAGAGAAACUUUCAACUUCUUUCAUAGAAUCAAAAACUAAUGAAUACAAUAAGUGGGCCUAGUUGUAAAGGUCACAAAAACACAAAAUGUUCAAGAAAUAAUCAAGAAUUGAACUUACCUGCAGUAAAAAUAGGAAGAACCAGCUUAAGGAAACCAUUUUAUGGUGUGUUUGCUGAUGAGAAUGCAGAAAAAUAAAGAGAAAUCUAGAUAAUUCCACUUUGGUCCUAACUUUAUUAAGUACAUUUUGCAAUAUUCCAAUUUUGCCCUUAAUUCUCCUUACUUUGUUGCUGAUUUCAUGCCUUUGCCGUCCAGCCCAAAUAGACCUUGGGUCUAUUUUCCUUUUAAGUCCUCUUCCUUUUAUCAUUUAAGCUAUUUAAUCAUUUCCCAUAAUUUUACAUUUUUUACAAUUUAGUCCUUUUUGUUCAAUUAAUUAUCGGAACUUUAAAAUUUCUUAACGAAACUUUAAUACUAACUUUUUAACACUCCAUAAAUAUUUAUAAAAAUAUUUAUGGCUCGGUUUAAAAUCCCGGAGGUCUCGAUACCUCAUUUUUGAUUCUAAUUAUUUUAAUAUUUAUUUCUAGUGCACUAUUCACUAUUUCAAAAAUUUUCCUAACUUCACAUUUAACUUAUACUCACUAAAUUAAUAAUAUUUUCUACCCAUUUGUCAAAUUUAGUGAUCUCGAAUCAUCGUUCUGACACCUCUGAAAAUUCAGGCCAUUACAUUUUUCCUCUCGUCGAAUUUGUGGUCCCAAAAUCAUUGUUCCGACUAGACCCAAAAUCGGGCUGUUACACCACCUCCCAUAGAGUCAACAGGGGCAGAUACUCCUUCUUGUUUCGAAACUACUACUGAUGUCUUCUCAGUUAAAAGCACAUAUUAGGUACUAAAGGAGGAGUCUUUGAAUCCAAAGGAUGACACUUGGAAAAUAGUUUGGAAAAUUUUGGGCCCUCUAAGAGUUAGACAUAUCAUCUAGAUAAUCCUAAAGCAAAGACCUUUAACUAACUUUGAAAAGGUCUGAAGGGGAAUUGGUCAUGAUGAGUCUUGUCAUCUUUGUGGUCACCAUACAAAGGAUAUUUUACAUGUUCUUAGGGACUGUCCAUGUGGGAAGGAUAUUUGGACUCAAAUCAUUUCCCCUAAAGAAAAUAAACAGUUCUUUGAAGGUAAUAUUUCGGAAUGAUUGCUCUCGAAUCUACAGGACCAAUCAGAUAAUAACACGAGAGGUUCAAUCUGGGCUUGCUUCUUCAGGAUAAUACUUUGGCUCAUCUGGAAAAAUUGUAACCUGUUCAUUUCCAAGGAAAAUCAAUGAAUCCGAAGGAAAUUAUUAAGGUUUCCUACAGUUGGGCAAAGCAAUAUUCCUCAGUCAAUAAUGAAGUCUUGGUGACGGAUCUGCAACAAUAUUUUGAACGUUUGGAAUCAGGUAUGGGUUUUCUUCUUAAUAUUAAAGGUGUUGUUAAUUCUAUUUCUGGUUUUUCUGUUGCAGGUGGAGUAAUAUAAGAUGGGAAGAGAAAUUAGAUUUUGGGCUAUAAUCGCUUUUUUGAGAAGUGUUCGGUUGUAGCUACUAAGCUUUGGGACAUAUUAAAUGGCUUACACAUGCUUAAAAAACAAGAAUAUGAUGAGGUCACCAUUCAUUCUAAUAGCCUCGAAAUUGUAGCAGCUAUUAGCGAUAACAAGCCUAAAAAACUAACCUUACUUUAAUUAGGAUGAUUCAACAUAUCCUUGCCAACAAAAAGAUAUGAUCAUUGAGAUAUGUUCCUAAAAUGAAUAAUUAAAUUGCAAACGUAUUAACAAAAAUAACCCUAUCAGAUGAUUAAAUUUUAUAUAUGUUUGAUAGUUGUACAAGCCCAUUUGCCCGGGCCUAAUAAAUUAAACCCAAGACCUACCCAAAACACCAACCCAAAAUUUCAGCCCAAUUUUCUAACCCUAGCCCAUAACAGAAAAAAACAAAAUUUCCUAACCCUAGGUGCGCCGCACCUAGGGUUCUCAGACCCAACUGCAGCCGCCCUAGCCACUGCCACCACCGCACGUCACCGUCGCCCACUUGCUCACCCCACUUGCUCCUGCAAACAGAAAGAAAGAAGUGACAAAUGCACAAAAAACAAAUUAAAAAUUCAUGUAAAAAGGGGCUGUAAAAGCCGAACAUGUGACUUCUUUUUUUUUUCUUCUUCCAACAACUCUUGUAUAAAAAAAAAAGGGAUUCAAUCGAAAAAAUAAAAAAGGCAGAUUCAAGGUAUUUUUCUUUUCAGUUUUGAAGUUUUAUUUAUUUAUUUUGCUCUCUUUUCUCUUCAUGUGUAUAUAUAAAUAAAGAUAGUAAAAAAAGAGAGUUUUAAAAAAAACUUAACCUGCGCUGCGCCGGAAGGGGGAGGAAGGCGAAGGAUUUCACCCCAUUUUUCGGGUCUUCGGCCUUUGAUUCAGGAGAUUCUGCCCUGGAUCUGUGGCCUGGAGGCCAUGGACUUCAAAAAAGGACCAAAAAGGUCCGAUUUUGAACCUCUGGCCUCCACACACGGUGGCUCUGCAGCGGAGACUCGCCGGAAAUCCCAAGCCGGACCAUGGCCGGACCUAAGAGAAAAAGAGAGAGUUUUCUCUCUGUUUUUUAAAAAAAAGAAGAAACUAUUUUUUUAGCUUUUUUUAAUAUUUAUAUUAAGCGUGAAACGACGCCGUUUUAGCAAAGGGGAUCCGCACGUCGACCCGACCCGACCCGAAGGAUCAAUGUGUUUUUAGUUUUUGGGCUAUUUGCGCGCGCAGUCCCCCUGGUUUUGCAGCGUAUUACAAUUUGAUCCUUUUUCGUUAUUUUCUCUUAUUUUUAAUUUAGACGCGCAGUUUUAUUUUUGUUUCAAUUUAGUCCACUGUAGCGCUGCGUUUUAGGAACUCGGUCUAUUUACUAUUCUGGUCCCUCUUUGUUUGGCGCGUGUUGCAAUUUAAUCAUUUUUUGUGUUUUAUUUUGAAUUCGCCCAGUAUUUUCGUUUUUAUUUCGAUUUAGUCCAUGUUUUAGCAAUUUCAUUAUUUAGUUUAUUAUUAUUAUUAUUAUUAUUAUUAUUAGUUUUUUUUCCUUUUAUUUAUUUGUUACUAUUAUAUUAAUACAUUAAUUAGUAGUAUAUUAUUUUUAGCUUUAUUUUUAUUCUAUAUAUACAUACAUAUACACCUAUACAUGUACAUAUUUUUAUAACUUGUUUAUAUAUAUGUAUACAUACAUACGAUACAUACUUACAUAUAUAUAUAUUUUUAUAUAUUAAAAUAUGUAUAUUUAUACAUUAUAUAUUUUAUCUUACCUUUUUUUAUAUAAUCCACAUAUAUAUUUCCCUUAAAUGUACAUAAACAUGUUCAUAUUUUAUAAUUUUCAUCUAUUUUCCUUUAUUUUAUGUCCGUUUAUGUACUUAUUUAUAUGUUCAUUUUUAUGCUUUAGUUUAUUUAUGUAUUUAUUUGCUAUGGUAUAUGCAUGAUUGAUUUAUUUUAUUAUUCGUUUUUGUUCAUAUUUUUUAUUCACAUCAUCAUGUUUAUUAUUCCAUCAUGCAUAUAAAUAUCAUAUUUCAAAAAAAAAAAAAAAAGAGGGAAAAUAUUUCUAAUUGAGGCAAUAUUUAGCGUUUGGAAAUUCGAGAAAACGUGCCCUAAUGUGCUGGGUUUCGAUUUUUCUCGUUCAACCAAAUGGCUAAAUAUCCUUUUAAAAGAUUUCAAAAUAAGGCAAUGUUUUGCGUUUGGAAAUUCAAGAAAACGUGCCCUAAGGUGUUGGGUGUCGAUUUUUCUCGUUCAACCAAAUGACUUAAUAUCCUUUUAAAAAAUUUUAAGAUAAGGCAAUGUUUUGCGUUUGGAAACUCGAGAAAACAUGCCCUAAGGUGCUGGGUGUCGAUUUUUCUCGUUCAACCAAAUGGCUUAAUAUCCUUUUCAAAAUUUCAAAAUAUGGCAAUGUUUUGCGUUUAGAAAUUCGAGAAAACAUGCCCUAAGGUGCUGGGUGUCGAUUUUUCUCGUUCAACCAAAUAGCUAAAUAUCCUUUCAAAAAUUUCAAAAUAAGGCAAUGUUUUGCGUUUGGAAAUUCGAGGAAUGUGCCCUAAGGUGCUGGGUUUCGAUUUCUCGUUUAACCAAAUUGCCAAAUAUCGUCUUGAAUUUGAAUCUAUGCUAUUCGAGUUUUUUUAAGGAUCGUAUUUUAAAUUUCUUAAAAGUUUUCAGUUUUUCGACACUAAGACAUUAAGUAAUCAACUAGGUACCAAUUUUGGGCGUAUCGAGGGUGCUAUUCCUUCCUCGUGCGUAACCGACUCCCGAACCCGUUUUUCUGAAUUUCGUGGACCAAAAUCGUUGUUUUAAUAAAAUUAAAUCGUUUAUUAAAAACAACCACUUUUCAAGGUGAUUCGAUCACACCUUAUCAAAAAAAGAUUGGUGGCGACUCCCAUUUUUGUUUUCAUUUUUCAAAACCCAAGUCGACCUCGUUUUUCAUCAAAAAAAAAUGGUGUCAACAAUAGUCAUCAUGGAGAUUAAGAUAUUCUAAAAGAUGAGAGCACUAGACACAAUUUAUUCAUAAAUACUUUACUAUAAUCGUAUUGUUUUGAUUAUUAUAAAUAAAAAAAAUUGCAUUUGCAUCAAAUCAGCCUGCAAUUAAUGACAACAUUGUCAAACUCGUACUUUUAAAACUUGCAAAAUUCUAGGAUUUUUUACUAAAUUAUUAUAAAAAAAUAAAAAAUAACUAAAAUAUUAUAUUUUUUUUAUUUACCAAAAUAUAUAAAAAAAAAGACGGCUGAAGGAGGGUAAUGGAAUGGCGGCACAGGACUAAAAUGUAACUAUCUGCAGUUUCAAGAACCUGACAUACAAAUUUACCAUUUGGAAUUUUGAAAGUGAAUUGGUGCCACCUGUGGGUGUGUCAGCACCAAAGCUAAAACUUGGCUAAUUGCCUUCUAAGCCCUCCUUAUUUAUUAUUUUCUUUUUAUUCCCCCUUCAACUCACUUUUUUAUUUAAUAAACAAUCCCUCAACCUAUUUUUGUAGUUAAAUAAGCUCUUAAUCUAUGAUUUUUACUCAUAAAAGCCCUUUAUUUUAUUAUUAAAGUAAAUAUAUUUUACCUAAAGUAAAGCUAUUUAAAAAAGUAUAAACUAAUUCACAUUUUAUGUAUUAUUUUGGUAAUUUGAUGAGAAUAGUUUAUUAAAUAAAAAACUUACUAAAUUUAUCAAAGGCUUAUAGCUAUAAUAGUCCCCUAAGAAAAAAACCAAAAAAAGUUACUAAGCCCCUUGACUUAAUUUGAACCUAGUUGAUCCCUUAUCAUUAACCUGAAAAAUUAAUUAAGCUCUUACAUUAAUAAUUUUCACAUUUCGUUACAUUAACCAUUAAAAUCAAUUAACGGGCCAAUUAGAUGACUAAAUAUGACAGGAUGUGAUUUAAUCUUUCAUAUCUCCGAUUAAAAUCAUAAAAAUAUCUAUCUAUAAUAUAUAUAAAAGCACGAGUCUUGAAAAAACUUUUGAACUGACAAAAAUAUCCUUUAUUGUUAAUUAUAUUACUAAAUUACAUUAGAAUAAUAAUUUAUUAAUAUUAUUAUAUAAUAAUAAAAAGUAAGAUUAAUUAAAAUAAUAAUAUAUUAAUGUGAAAUUAAUUAAUUUGGUCAUAUAUUAUAAAGGCUCUACUUAAAAGAAAACAUAAUAUAUUAUUAAUUAAUAAAACUAUAAAUCUAUAAAAUCAUUGAAUAUAAUUGGAUGAAUUUAAAAUAAUAAGAAUUCAAGUUUUUUAAUUAAAUAAAAAUAUUUUUUUACAUAUAAAUACUCUUUAUAAAUUUAAAAAUAAUUAUAAUUUAAUAGAAGUUGUGAGAAUUAUAUAUUUCAAAAUAAUUAUAAUUUAAACUGCAAUUAUUAUUAAAAAUAUUGUGCUAAUUUUAAAAUAGAAUUGUUAUUUAAAUAGAACUCUAAGCAUAAAAUAUAGGAAAAAGACAAAAAUAUUGUGAUAAUUAUAAUUAUAAUUUAUUGUUAUUAGUUAAAAAAUUUGACAAUGCUACUUUUAUUAAAGUAAAAUAGAGUUAUUACUUAAUUAGAAUUCUAAGUAUCUUAAUUAUCACUUAACUAAUAUUAGAUUUAAUUAAAAAAUUAAUAGAAAUAUUAGGCAUGCUUUAUUGAAAAACCAGAAGUAAUAAUAAAACUGAUCACCCAUAAAUGUAACCCAAAUAGAAAAAAUAAAUUAUAAUUAUAAACUAUUCUCAUCAAAUUUAGUAAGUUUUUUAUUUAAUAAACUAUUCUCAUCAAAUUACCAAAAUAAUACAUAAAAUGCGAAUUAGUUUAUACUUUUUUAAAUAGCUUUACUUUAGGUAAAAUAUAUUUACUUUAAUAAUAAAAUAAAGGGCUUUUAUGAGUAAAAAUCAUAGAUUUAGAGCUUAUUUAACUGCAAAAAUAGGUUGAGGGCUUGUUUAUUAAAUAAAAAAGUGAGUUGAAGGGGGAAUAAAAAGAAAAUAAUAAAUAAGGAGGGCUUAAAAGGCAGUUAGCCAAGUUUCAGCUUUGGCGCUGACACACCUAUAGGCGGUACCAAUUCACUUUCAAAAUUUAAAAUGGUAAAUUUGCAUGUCAGGUCAUUGAAACUGCAGGUAGUUACAUUUUAGUCUUGUGCCGCCAAUGGGAUUGGCACCACCGGUGCCGCCAAUGAGAAAGGCAUCAUCGGUGCCGCCAUUCCAUUACCCUCCUUCAGCCGUCUUUUUUUUUGAUAUAUUUUGGUAAAUAAAAAAUAUAUAAUAUUUUGGUUAUUUUAUAUUUUUUAUAAUAAUUUAGUAAAAAAUCCCAAAAUUCUAUCUUAUUGCAUGUCACGUGACUGCAAUUAUUUAUUACAACAUGAUUUUAUCAGAAUUGCUAUAAUAAGGACCACCGACACUGUUACAUGAUUCAGCCAAUUUACCCAUUUUCACUGACACUUUCAUAUACCAUUUCUGAAAAAAAAACUUCUCAAUUGCUGGUCCAAAAAGUAAAGCCAACAUAACAUUGCUCUUCAUUGGGAUGAAAAUGUAACAACACUUAGCAAAUAUUGUUAAAUCUUAAUUAUUUUAUUAUAUAUCCAUCAUAAAUAUUUAAUUUUAUAAUUUAUUAAAUGUAUCCAUUCUCAUUUUACCAUACGAUUGUUUCAUUUUGAUUUUUCUUAAUUAUUUUUAAUAUUUUAAACAUAUUUCUUUAAAAUAAAUUGAAACAUAAUUUUGAUUACUUGGGACAACCUUCCCAAGUAAAAAGGAAAAAUUCUCUAACAAUUAAUUUAUCUUAAUUUUCUUAUAUUAGCAACUAGUAAACAAAAAUUAAUGUUAUCGAAAUCGAAUUGUAUUGAUUAGUUAAAUUGAUUGUAUUGAAAAUUAAUAGAUUUGACGAUCCAACACUUCUUAUUAAAAUGGAUAACAAGCGAACUGUUAUGAACCAAUUAAAACUCAAUUAAACGGGAUUUAGAAACCUAAAAAAAAUCGAUUAAACCAAUAUUUUAUUUAGUAUUAUAUUUUUAUGUUUUUAAUUAAUUUUUUUAUCAAUUUUUAUUUUAUUUUUGAGUCCGUCUUGUGAACCAUGUUACAAUCAGAUUUGCCUCUAAGAUUUGGUGGAAAAGAAGAACAAUCCGAGAUUUGAAAUGAUACCAAAGAGAUUUGAGUAUUUGAGAAGAAGAAAUGAAUAGAAAAAAACCGAUCUUUUAAGAAAUAGUUAGAAUAAAUGAGAAGAGGGAAUGACAAAAAGGAAGUGGAAGAGAAGUUUACAAGUCUAAAGAGUAAAAAGAGAUGAGUUGCAUAUUUGCAAGGAACUUUUAAAUUCUUUAAAAGUGGAUUUACAAAUUUUCAAUCAAUGGGCUAUAUAUUGUCUUAAAGUGGACUUACAAAACUUUGAGAUUUCAAAAUUUAUAAAAAAAUAAAUUUUAUAUUGAUAAUUUAUUUUUUAUUGAACAGAUUGAUCCAAUUAAUUGGACCAACUGAAUUAGGAAUCGGUUGUCUGAUCGAUUUGAUCACUGGUUCAAUUAUGAAAACAUUGUCAGAAAUCACUAAGUCUAAACUAAGUAAUUCAAGGUUUAAACAUAUUUUUAUAUUUUUACUCUUUUAAUGUUGCUAUACCUCUCCGUUACUCGAACACACAAUACCAGAUGCAUCUAGACCUCCUGUUGACUUCAUUUGAAGUAACGUUUCGACAGACCACCUGUUCCUCUAGGAGGGAGCCAUCCACCUGUUUUAAGUAUUAACAUUCUCCUAGUAUGAACACACUUUUUAUAUGAUAAGCAGUCCAUUUAGGCACAGUAAUCUCAUACUGAAAAGCUCUCAUGAUAUAUGCCAAAAAUACCCUUUCACACAUUUAGCGAGAUUGGAUGUUUACCUGGCCAUGUCAUACCAGUGGACAAGAGGAAAUAUUCUAAGGAAUGAUGCAAAAAGAUCAUUCUUUUAGCACCCUAGAGUUACUCUGAGCAAUUGUCUUCUUGGUCAGCCUAUCUUCUUGUUCUUGUUUCGGCUUUUGACCUCUUUAGGUGAAUCGGCCUCCAUUGUACCAUCUUGAUCUCCUCCUUAUCUUCCUCUUUUGUUGUACAUUGUAUCAACAAAUAUAUAGGGUAAAAUGGUAACUUUAUAUAAUGAGUAGGGCGGAACAAGGAAAAUAAUUAUUAUAACAGCUACAUACUCAUAGUGUAAAAAAAAAAAAAUCCAUCUUAUAAUGCAUCCACUUUUUAAGAAAAAAAUAAAAAUUAAAUUCAGCUCCCAUUCUAUUCUGUUUACCGGGGGAUGUAUUGAUGCUACUAUCGAAGGGGAGUUCUCCUUAAGAAACUAUCAUUUUUUGUGAGUUUUCAAGCUCAUUAUUCUAAUAUCUUCAAUUAAACGGUCCAAAUUACUAUAAGAAGACCCACCAACAUUAACACUUUGAUUGGUUACCUUAGCAAUUUCAGAUGCGGAUUUUGCAAACUCCUCCUUUCGAUCCACCAUCACAUCAUUUACCAUUUUCUCCACUAUCUUGCUAUCACAUACAUCCUUCAUAUCCAACCCUAUUUUCCACACCUCACUCACAACCCUACAAUUCACGUGUUGGUCAGCAAACUGAGGCCAGCAAAUCAUAGGCACCCCUGCGACAACGCUCUCUAAAGUCGAGUUCCAUCCAUUAUGCGUAAAGAACCCGCCAAUAGCCGGGUGGUUCAAGACUGCCUCUUGUGGUGCCCAAUUUACAAUGUAACCUCGAUCCUUACUCUUCUCCAUAAGUUCCAUUACAACAUCCUCCCCUUCACCAUCUUUUCCAAUCACGGAAUUUGGCCUUACAACAAGCAAGAACUUUGUUUUACUGUUAAGAAGUCCAUACCAAAGCUCAACAAGUUGCUCCCUCGACGUGCUCGUAAUGCUACCAAAACUUACAUAGAUAACAGAUCGAUUCGGUUGCUUAUUGAGCCAAAACAUGCAGCUUUUAUCCACUUCCCAAAGUGUAUUCGAGAAGUGAUCAUAUGAUUCUCCAUGUUUUGCAUUGAUUCUAGUGUUUAAUUGAGCAUGUAAGGGUCCAACGGCAUAGACACGAGAGCAUUUGGUGCGUAUUUGAGAUAGUAUAGGCCCAUCGAGCUCUUCGGCGGUGUUGAGUAUCAAGGCAUCGGCUUGAAGGCUCUUUCGUGUCUGUUUUACGACUAGCUUCAUAAUUGAAUCUUCAAUGUCCAGUUUUCGACAAAAAGUAGGAAGAUCUCGACAUCGAAGAUAAGUUUCCAUGCCUGGCACUGUCGUUAUUAGCCGGUCCAUGUCUUCACUUCCUUCAAUUGUUUAACAAAAACCCAUUUACUAGUGUCAAUGACCACAAACCCAAUUAAUUCAAACUCAUAUCAAAUUCAAAUUUAUUUAAUCAUAGAAAUUUAACAAUUCAAACUUGAAAUGAUCUAAACCCAAACAUGAUCGCAACUUCGAACGACUCGAACUUAAAAACAACGGGAACAAGUUACCCAAAGUGGUCCAAACUUAAGUAUUAAACCCGAAUGAAAAAAAAUCCUGAAAUGAUUCAACUUAAAAAACCCAUCAAUCUUGAAUGAUUUGUAAUCAGAAUGACUCAAACCCAAAAUAAAUGGACACAAAAACCCAACUAAUUAUCCUAAAGUGACCCGUAAAUAGAAUGAUUCAAAAUAACUCGAAUUUAAAAGUAAAAUUGGUAAAUCUAAAUGACAAGAAACCCAAAGUGAUUCAAAUCCAAAACAAUCCAAACCUCUUUAAAAAAUUGAAAUUCAAAAUCAAUCAAACAUGAAAUGAUUUAAAAUUUUUAAAUUCCGAAUUAAUCCAUCUUAAACCAAAUCAACUCGCCUAAUUAACAGGAAUAUUCCAAAUGUCUUUCUCGUUAAUUUCUGCAACAUGCUUGUCAAAUCAUUUCGACUUAAGGGUUUGUGUUAUUCUAAAUUAAAAACAGUGCUAAGCAUGGUACAAUAAACAAAGUUGAUGAAAAAGAAGUGGAUUUACCAUUGAUAGGAAGCUCCCCAGCUUGGAUUAUAUCAGGUAUAGAAUAAUAAACCCAGAAACAACAAGGACUGCUGGUACGAAAAAAAAUAAUGGGGAUUCCAAGCUCCUUUGCAACAUCAAGAGCAAAGCCUAAAAACCCAUCUGCAAUUAUGCAAUCUACUGGCGGGCUACUAUUCACAAGUACCUCUCUCAAACUUUCCUUCAUCUUAGGUUCCAUGGUAUCUUCAAACAUAUCAAGGAACCAGUUCCCUGACCUAGGAUGAUCAAGAGGGAGACCAUCGGUUAUGGUCUUGAAUUGGAACCCUGAGUAUCUUUCAAAAUGGGCAGCAAUAUUGUUGAACUUGACCAAGCGUUCAUGGUUGUGGUGGGAGUUGAGGAAAGUGAGCUUGAAGCCAGCGAUAGCUAGCAGUUCAGCUAGCUUAAUCAUGGAGUUUAUAUGGCCUUGUAUUGGGAGGGGGAAGACGAGGACAUGUGGAGGACGGGAUUGAGAGGAUCGAUCCUGCUCCAUCUAAUUGGAGGAUCUGUUUUGAGGGGCUUUUUGAGUUUUAUGUGCUUAAGAAUCGACAAUUUCGAAGCUAUUUAGUGGCCAAAAGAUGUCUUUGGAUAGGGCGGCGAAUGUUGUCUAAUUUCACCAUUAUAUUAAUUUAUAUGUUAAGAAAUAAACGAUAUAUUUAUCGUUCUUAGGAAACCAGUUAGGCUCUUAUAUCUAUCCAAGAGUAAACCAUGCCUGAAAUUAAAUUAUAAUUUAUUAUUUUUAAUAGUGUAUAUUUUUAUAAUUUUUAAAAGAUUAAAUUAAAAUUUUAUCAUUUUUAUGGGAUGAAAAUGUAAUAUUAUCUCUUAUAAUUUAAAAUUUUAAAAGACCUACACGAAAAAAAGUUUAAUUUAGGGGAAUUAAGGCCCCUGUCAGCUUCUCUAGUUACGCCCAUGUACCUAUCCUCGUUGACCUUAUUUUCCACUUCCAUUCCAAUGUGGAAUUAUUGCAUCUUGCCUACUUUAAUUUAAAGCGUUUGGUGUGACAUUCUCUCCCAUUUAAUCUCGUGAUGUCUUAGUCACAAGCUACUGUGUCACAGUUGAUCCACUAUGUCAUCCCAUUUUCUGAGAUGCUUAUUGUGAAAUUGGACAGUCAAGGAUUGCUUUGAUACCACUUGUUAUGGUUUCAUUACUCUUUUCCCAAAAGACAUGUGAUUGGAUGUGUGGCGCACUUGCUUAUAUUCUUAAUGACUUUCUCUUUCUUUUUUAGAUUAUUACAUUCUAUCUUUUUUUUAAAGUGCUUGAUGUGAUAUUUAUUUUCCGAAUAUGACAAAUUGUUAAAAAAAAAUCUAAAGAGUUUAUUUAAAAGUUGUAUUAUAAUUUAUUGGGGCUAAAAUUUUUAUAUAGGCAAAUUAAUUUUGUUUUAAUUUUGUUUUAAUUUUAAGAGAAAAUAUUGUUAUAAUAUUAUUUUUGUUUUCUAAUAUAUAUUUUCAACUCACCUAAAUUAAUUAACGAUUUUAUUUAUUUAUUUUUCAUUAAAAGUAUUUUUUUAUUUCAUGCAAUUAAUGUAAAUUAAUAUUAUUGAAAUUGUUGAGUAUAAUUAAAAUAUUACACCAAAUAAAACCUUCAAAACCAUAAACAAAAGCUUGUAUGAAAAUAAUAUAGGCUUCACAACCAUAAAUAAAAACUACUAGUUAAAUUACAUAUUCGUCACCAGAAUUCAUAAAGUUAUAAAAUAGUAAUAAAAUUAUUCGAAGUUUUUAUUUAAGUUACUUAACAGUUAAAAUCGUUAUUGUAUAGUUUUUUCGUUCGCAUUUCUUGCACAAAUCGAAAACUUUUCUUCCCCUUUUCUUGUACGGUUCAAUUUCUUUUCAUAUCUACGAACUAAAAUCUAAAUAACUUUCUUCUUCGAUCUCCAACACCAACUGUCAGAUCGACUUGGAUCUAAGUUAUGUUCUUCUAUUUCUUGAUGGGUACUGAUCUACCAUACUAUUGUCGAAUUGUUGUUUGAAGCUUGUAAACCAAACUUAAAGCUAAUGACUUAAACAAAAUCUUUUGAAUAGUUUAGUGAUUAUUUUAUAUCUAAUUAAUUAAUCAAAAUAUAAACUUAUUAAUAUUUAAUAACCUUGGAUCUAAUUUUAAAAAAAAAUCCAUCUUUAUUGCAUGCCAUGUGACUGCAAGUUAAUUAAUUACAACAUGUUCUUUUAUGUCUUUAAUAAAACAAUCGAAAUUGCAGCAAGGGCCGCCGACAGAUUUCUCAAUCUCUUUUUUGUUUUCAACCUUCAAUUUCAUUCACCAUUUUCGUUAAAGCAAUUUUCCUAUACGAAACAUCUUUAUUCCCCUUCACUAGCUACUUCGGGCAGGGACCGAAUCAAGAGAAAACAUUAUUGGAUAAUAGUCCCCACCAUUUUGAUACCAAAUAAUUUAAGUUCAAUUUUAGUAAAAAAAAUUAAUAUAUUUUAAUUAAUUUCAAUCAAUAUCGAUUUAUAUAUUGAUAAUUAUCAUAACUCGUAUCAAUUAAUAUGAGAUAUUAGUAUUUUAAACUAACUUUUAUUUUUUUUUAUCAAUUGAAAAUCAUAUAUUAGUAUAAAAGCAAACAAAUACGAUUAUUAAUUUAAAAGUUGACAAAGAUGUAAGAGGUAAUUAAAGAAAUUAGGGUCAAAUUGUUUAAUUCGAAAUUAGCAGGAACCUAGGAAAUAAUUUAAUAAAAAAAGUGGGGAUGGGCAAGGCCCCUCAUUUUGUUGUCCCGAUCUCAAAAUUUCAUUUUUUUAACAAUUUUUAUUCAUCAUUCUUAUGUCCUCAAUUAGACAGUCCAAGUUAUAAUACGAAGACCUACCAACAUUCACAGAUCCUUUAGCCAAUUUAGCAAAUUCAUCAGCUGAUUUCAAAAUCUCCUCCCUUUUUUCCACCAUUAAAUCAUUCACCAUUUGCUCCACUUCUAUCACACACAUCCUUCAUAUCUAAUCCUAAUUUCCAUACUUCCUCCACAAACCUACUGUUCAAUUGUUGGUCAGCAAAGCAAGGCACCCCCGCUGUCACGUUCUCCAAAGUCGAAUUCCAUCCGCUAAGAGUCAAAAACCCACCGAUUGCCCCAUGGGCCAAGACAUCUUCCUGUGGAGCCCAAUCCACUAUGUACCCUCUUUCUUUUGUCUCUUCCACGAGCUCCGUUGGUACACCGUCGCAUGUUCAUCUGGAUAAUCCUAAAUCAAAGACUUUUAACCAAAUCUGAAAGGGUCCGAACGGGAAUUGGUCAUGAUGAGUCAUGUCAUUUUUGUAGUCAUCAUACAGAGGAUGUUUUACUAGUUUUUAGGGGCUGUUAACGUUCGAAGGAUAUUUGGACUAAAAUCAUUUCCUCCAAUCAAAAUAAAUGGAUCUUUGAAAGUAAUAUUUCAGAAUGGUUGCUCUCGAAUUCAUAGGACCAAUCAGAUAAUAAUACGAGAGAUUUUGUCUGGGCUUGCUUCUUCGGGAUAAUACUUUUGCGUAUCUGGAAAAAUCAUAACCUGUUCAUCUUUCAAGGAAAAUCAAUGAAUCUGGAGGAAAUUAUUAAAGUUUCUUACAGUUGAGCAAAACCAUAUUCUUUAGUCAAUAAUGAAGUCUUGGUGAAGGAUCCGCAAUAGUCUUUUGAACAUUCGAAGUCAGGUAUAGGUUUCUUCUUAAUACUGAAGGUGUCGUUAAUUUCAUUUAUAGUUUUUCCGCUGCAGGUGGGGUAAUAUGUGAUGGGAAGGGAAAUUGGAUUCUAGAAAUAAUUACUUUUUGAGGAAGUGUUCGGUUGUAGCUGCUGAGAUUUGAGACAUAUUAGAUGACUUACACAUACUUAAAAAACAAAGAUACGAUAAUGUUACCAUUCAUUUUGAUAAUAUUAAAGUCAUAGCAGCUAUUAGAGGUAAUAAGCCUGAAAAAACUACCUCUACUUUAAUUAAGAGAAUUUAACAUAUGCUUGCUAACGAAAAGAAAUGGUCAUUAAGAUAUAUUCCUAAAAAGAAUAAUAAAAUUAUAGACGCAUUAGCAACAAUGACUCUUAAAUGACGAAGUUUUACAUACGUUCCAUAGCCCUUACGGAGAUUCAAGAUAUUCUAAAAGAUUGAGCACCAAAGACAAUUUAUUUAUAAAUACUUUACUGUAAUCGUAUGUCAAACUCGUACUUUUAAAACUUGCAAUAAAAAAAAAAAAAAAACAGAAAGAUUACACCUUAUUGCAUGUCACGUGACUGCAAUUGUUUAUUACAACAUGCUUUUAUCAUAAUUGCAAAAAUAAGGACCACCGACACUGUCACAUGAUUUAGCCAAUUUACCCAUUUUCACAGACCCUUUCAUGCACCAUUUUGGAAAAAAAAAAGAAGAAAAAUCCCAAACAAAAGCGACUUCUCAAUUGUUGGUCCAAAAAGUAAAGGCAACAUAACAUUGCUCUCCAUUGGGAAGAAAAUGUAACAACACCUAGCAAAUAUUGUUAAAUCAAUUAUUUUAUUAUCUAUUUCGUUCCAUCAUAAAUAUUUAAUUUUAUAAUUUAUUAUUUCCAUUAUGGAUAUUAAAUAUAUCCAUUCUCAUUUUACCAUACGUUGUUUCAUUUUGAUUUUUCUUAAUUAUUUUUUAAUAUUUUACACAUAAUUUUGAUUACUUGGGAUAACCUCCCAAGUAAAUAGGAAUUGAAUUUACCUUAAAAAUUAAAAAUUUCCUAGCAAUUAAUUUAUCUUAAUUUUCUUAUAUUAGCAACUAGAAAUUAAAAAUUAAUAUUGUUGAAAUUGAAUUGUAUUGAUUAAUUAAAUUGAUUGGAUUGAAAAUUGGUAGAUCUGACGAUCCAAUACUCUUUAUUAAAAUAGAUAACAAACGAACUGUUAUGAACCAAUUAAAACUCAAUUAAAUAGGGUUUAGAAACUUGAAUAAAAAAUCGAUUAGAAUAAUAUUUUAUUUAUGCAAAGAAAGAAAAAGCAAAACAUGAGAUUUGGAAUGAUACGAAAGAGAUUUGGGUAUUUGAGAAGAAGCAAUGAAUAGAAAAAAACCGAUUUUUAAGGAAUAGUUAGAAUAAAUGAGAAGAGGGAAUGACAAAAAGAAAGUGGAAGAGAAAUUUAUAAGUCUAAAGAGUAAAAGAGAUGAGUUGCAUAUUCGCAAGGAACUUUUAAAUUCUUUAAAGGUGGAUAUUAUAAAUUUUUAAUCAAUAGGCUAUAUACAAUCUUAAAGUGGAAUUACAAAACUUUAAUAAUGAAAUUUCAAAAUUUAUAAAUAAUUGGAUUUUAUAUUUAUAAUUUAUUUUUUAUUGAAUCAAUUGAUUUAAUCGAUUGAAUCGAUUAAAUUAAAAAUUGGUGGUCUGAUCGGUUUGAUCACAGGUUCGAUUAUGAAAACAUUGCCAGAAACCAGUAAGUCUUAACUAUGUAAUUCAAGGCUCAAACAUAUAUUUAUAUUUUCACUCUUUUAAUCUUGCUAUACCCCUCCGUCACUCGGACACGUGUCAAUAUCAGAUGCAUCAUAGACCUCUUGUUGACUUCAUUUGAAGUAACGCUUCAAUAGACCACUCGUUCCUCUUAGAUGGAACCAUCCACCCGUUUUAAGAAUUAACAUUCUCUUAGUAUGAAUGCACUCUUUAUAUGAUAAGGAGUCCAUUUAGGCACAAUAAUCUCAUACUGAUAAGGCCCCAGGUCCCAUGAUAUACGCCUAUAAAUAUCCUUUACAUAUUUUGUGGGAUUGAAUGUUUAUCUAGCCAUGUCAUAUCAGUGGGCAAGAGAAAAAUAUUCUAAGGAAUGAUGCAAAAAGAUCCUUUUUAUUAGCACUCUAGAGUUACUGAGCAAUUGUCUUCUUGGUUAGUCUGUCAUUUUGUUCUUGUUUCGACUCUCAACCUCUUUAGGUGAAUUGGCCUCCAUUACACCAUCUUGACCUCCUCCUUAUCUUCCUCCCUUGUUGUAUGUUGUAUCAACAAAUAUGUAGGGUAAAAUAAUAACUUUAUAUAAUGAGUAGGGUGGAGCACAAAAAAUAAUUAUUAAAACCACUUCAUACCUAUAAUGCAAAAAAAAAAAAAAAAAUACCAUGCAUUCACAUUUUAAGAAAAGAAAUAAAAGCCUCCCGUUCUAUUGUGUUUAUUGGGGGGGAUGUAUUGAUGCUACCAUCGAAGGGGACUUCUCCUUUUGCAUGCUUAUUACUGUUAAGUAUUUAUUCAUAAUGUUUGAUACUUGCUACUUCUUUAUGUUAGCUCAUUUUAUGAAGAUAAUACUCUAGUUGUUAGUGUCAAAGGGUGAGAAUGUUAGUGUCAUUGAUAAAAGUUGAGGCGGAUGAAUAUGGAAGUGUAUCGUAAAGUUUGUUUAAGUCGCGAAUUAGACUUAAGAUUCUAGACGUUAGGAAAGAAACUUAGAUUUUGACAUAAUCUGAAACGCAAUCAAAUCCAAAAUAGAUAUACUUCGAACGCCAUGAAGAAUCUCAACCCAGAUAUGCCUGGAUCCCAUCCAAAAAGGCGUUGCAAGUUUGUUGAUUUCCUAAACUUGAAAGUUGACAGCUUUGGUGAAUGAAAUUUAAUAAAUUUCAUCCCAUCCGUACAUAUAUCAUCCCCCUUUCCUCGAAAAAAAUUCUUACUCGAAUAUUGUCUUUAAUUGAAUCUUGAUUUGAUUUGUUUGGCCGUUGACACUAUUGUUGAGCUUUGAGAUAAUGUGAUCUCAUCACAUCCAUUAGUCUGAAACUGGUUCUUGGGUCUUGGGGCUUACAUCAUUUGUCAAUUACUCAGUUAGUCACAACUCAAUUUGCAAUUGAGUUGUUUGUAAUUUACCUAUUUUAUUGGCAUAUUUUGAUAGGAUUUAAGUAACUAUUGUUGUACAUCUUUUUAAGGUUAAUAAUAAAAAAAUUUGGUGAUUGUAAUUGAUCAAGAUAUUCAAUCAUGUAAGGAUAUUUUGAAAAGUUUUACUGCUAUUCAAUUACUUUGUUUAAAGAGAUAUUGCAAUAAAAAAAAUUUAAAAUGAAGAGAACCCGCCAACGGCUGGGUGGUUCAAAGCUCAUUUUGUGAGUUUUUUCAAGCUCAUUAUUCUAAUAUCUUCAACUAAACAGUCCAAAUUACUAUAAGAAGACCCACCAACAUUAACACUUUGAUUGGUUACCUUAGCCAUUUCAGAUGCGGAUUUUGCAAACUCCUCCUUUCGAUCCACCAUNNNNNNNNNNNNNNNNNNNNNNNNNNNNNNNNNNNNNNNNNNNNNNNNNNNNNNNNNNNNNNNNNNNNNNNNNNNNNNNNNNNNNNNNNNNNNNNNNNNNCACAUACAUCCUUCAUAUCCAACCCUAUUUUCCACACCACACUCACAACCCUACUAUUCACGUGUUGGUCAGCAAACUGAGGCCAGCAAAUCAUAGGCACCCCUGCGACAACGCUCUCUAAAGUCGAGUUCCAUCCAUUAUGCGUAAAGAACCCGCCAAUGGCCGGGUGGUUCAAGACUGCCUCUUGUGGUGCCCAAUUUACAAUGUAAC